rnacentral:lncRNA from 1 species
GGCAUUCGAACCCUUGAGGAGGCUCACUAAUAUUACUAUUCUUUAAGGAGAUUGCGGUGCAAACCUUCAGUGUAUCCUUAUCUGGCCAGCUGGUCUCAUUUUCCACCGCAAACACAUGUUGGACUCUAGAUGCAAUAGAUAUGGCUACAUCACGAACAACAUCAUGCAUUGAGAAUCGUUCACUUGUAUUGCCAUCAAGCAACAAACAAGAUUUUUUGAGUUUGUCAACCAACGUAUGUGCUCUAUCCCGCGCCUCUUCCAACGUGUUGAUGUUUUGAAACAGACCCAAACCCAUUCCAUAAAAGCGCACGUCUUCAACGCAAGAGAUGAAUGAGUACCCUAUUAGCAAAAACGUUUUCCUGAGUUCCUCACCUUCUAAAUGAUUGUAACUCAGCUCUAAACUUGAAUAGGCGGCCCCCAAAAAAGACUUAUUUUUCAAUUGUCGUAAAGCAUCCUUCCAUACAUGGAGACUCGACUUAUUUUUCAAUGCCUUUGCUACGGGUACAAUGGCAAUGGGCAAACCAGCACAUUCCUUGACUACCUCUGUUGCUACAGAUUUCAGUUCACCAUUUUCUAUGCAAUCACCUGUCAUCUUUUUGAAAAGACUCCAAUCUUCUUUUUCUUUCAGAACACCAACCAAAAAAUUUUGUUGACAAUCCAUCUCACAAGACAACACAUUCUGACUUCUUGCUGUCAGCAGAACUUUACAUCCGCCGUUAUCAUCUGCCAAUGGAAUUCCAAUCGCCUCCAAAUCAAGACUCCCCCAAAUAUCAUCCAAGAUUAUAAGGAUCUUCGUCUCUCUCUUCAAUCGUUCAAGCAGCCUCCCUGCUCUUACAGUUUCACUCUCUUCAUCUAUUUUCAGGCCCAGCUUCUCUGCAAUUUCUUUUUGUAUUUCUUUUAUUUGUGGUGUUUGGGAAACACGUGAAGAAAUGACCUUCUCAAAGAGAUUAUUUUCCUUGGCCUGUCUGCCAACUUCUUUCACCAGCGUUGUCUUUCCAAUGCCGCCCAUCCCGUACACCCCAAUCAUGUUGAAGUUACGGUUGCUGAGUGCGUCUAGUAUCUCCUUCAAGGUGGACUUUCUCGAUUCAAAGUGCAUGAAAUCCUGGGUAGACUUAAGCCAUGUCUCCUCUGGAAUGGUACGGAAAGAAACACUGUCGAAGCUCCCUUUUUCACGGAGUCCAACAAUAGCAUUCGCCUCUCUUUCCGCUUUCUUGCUAAGCUGGUACCGAGUCCUCAAAUUAGGACAUAACCCCUUCAAACACCGGCUGUUUGAAUUCUCUUUGUCUGCAAUAAGUGUUUCGACUUCAUUGAUGGCCUUGUCCACAGUAAUCAUCCACUUCUCAACGUAGUGUUGAAUUCCGUCCCCUUUAAUUCUGGAAUCUUCAACCUUGUACUGCACACUGGCUCUAGCAAUCUUUAGCUUAUCAACUUCAUUAUUCAGCUUCUCGAAGUUGGCCUUGUAGCUGCAGCAGUAAGUAAAUGGGUGAACAAUGGGAGCAACAAUGGGAGCAACCAAGUACUCUGCAACUUUUUCCCCAAUGGAGAGAAAAAAUUCCAUUAUGUCUCUUUUUUCCGGGGAAAGAACAGGGAAAGCAAAACUAAUAAAAACGGACGAAUGGACAAACGGGCAACUGGGGAAGAAAACAAAAGAACUGAAAAACAAAAGCAGAGUGUUUAGAAGAUCAAAGGCUGAAAAAACAAAAGCAAGUACAAAGGCAAAGAGUGGAUUUAAUCGGCUGGGAAGAUGGAAAUAAGAAGUUGUCUGAGUAAUAUUGAUCAACUGGUUUUAACGCAGGAUGAGGGAAAGGAGCGAUAAUUCUAGAGAUAGAACAAGAGCGGAGUUUGUCUCUACGAAGACGAAUUGAAAAGCGAUUGCAAUGAAAUGUAAAGAAAAGCUUUCGGGGAAUAAAGUUAGUGGGUGGAGGCGGCUAAUUUGGAAUAAAGCAAGUACAACAAUUUACUCAAAGUGGAGUAAAACGAUAGGAGAAUAGGUGAUGAUAAUGAAACAUUUGGAAUUAGUAUCUUCAUAAUUUAUAUGCUUUAAUGCAGAAUCAGCAGCUUUAUAGCAUCUCAUUCAACCAAAAACACAAGAUAAAAGGCAAGCAAUAAUAGUCCAAUAACUUGAUACUUCAAAAAAUAUAUAUAUUAGUUAUAAGAAGUUCCAUGAUAAUACAUAUUGUCAUUUUCAAGCACAAUUUUUUUUUCCUCUCCUCUCAGUAAUGACAGUAAUCUAAUAAACAAAGUUGUUGAUUAUAAAUAAAGCAAAAAAUAAAUAUAAAAUUUAAUUUUAGUAAACUGAUUAAAUGUAUAAAGAAGGCAAUUAUUAGAGAAAAAAAAAGGUAAAGAGAGUAUCUUUGUCCUUCAUUCAAAACGCUUGAUGAUAGCACGUGUACUUAAAUAUUUGAUGAUGAUUAUUUGACUCAAACAAAUGUUAUAUAAAAUAAUAUAAUUGCAUUGUUAGCCUUGAACCAAAUGUAGGCAAAAUCGCAUAGCAAAAUUCUUUUUUGAAUUUAUUUUUUUAAUUUGUCUUCUUAGUACAUCAUAAUUUACAUUUCAUACUUUAUAUAAAGAAAGAAACAAAGAAAAAGAAAACCCAGUUUUUGAAUAUGUCUCGUUUAGGUUACAUUACGAUAAAGAAAAAUUUUAAAAAGAUAUAUGACCUAUGGGGAAUCCAUAGCUUGAUUAAAGACCGUUAGUUGAGAGAAUAAUUAGGCAAAUUAUUGAUAAGAUCAUAGUGGACAGGAAUAAUAUAUUAAAGUGACGCAGAUGGUUGUUUUGAUGGCCAUUGAAAUUUUGAAAUGGUAUCGGAUGCUUGGUUUGAUAAUCCUACCAAUGGUAUCGGAUGCUUGCUUUUGUUAGAGAAUUUUAAUCCCAUGCAAGAUCUUGUAAGUAAAAGUAUCAAAUAAAUAAUAAAUAGAAAAUAAAUGUAAAAUAAAACCAAUCAUACAACAUAAGAAUUUAUAUGAAAAACUAACGUCACGGCCACCAAGAUUGACGAGAGAAAAAUCUAUUAUAUAUUAUAAAACAAUCAAAUGCAAAGAAAGGCAUGGGCAAUAAAGUAAAUAACCGUACCUAACGACAUAAAGUUAGUGAGAAAAACAAUUAGCUAUUUGAAGUCACUAAAGUACUUUCUACAUUCAUUUUAAAAAAUAAAUUAGUUAUUCAAAAUUUAAAAUUUAAAAAUCUCAAAAUUACUCUCACUAGUUUCUUUCUCUUUCUAUCUUACAAUUAUAUAUCUCUCUCUACUUUCACAUUCUACAAACUAGAUACUCAAUUUUAUUCUUUUUUUUAUUCAUUUUUUUUAUUUGUCUUCUUUAGUAUGUCAUAAUUUGUAAUUUCAUACUUUCUAUUAAAAAAAGAAACAAAGAAAAAGAAAACCCCACAUUUUGAAUGUGUCUCUUUUAGGUUACAUAGAAUCAAUUAUGAUAAAAGAAUAUAGAGUAGUUUUCCAAUCAGGGAUCCCCGACUUUAAUACACUACAUAACAAAAUACAGUGCAUUGGAGUCUGUGUUUAUUUUGUCUUUUAGUUAAUCUCUGACUUUAUUAAAGUCAGGGAUCCCUGAUUAGAAAACUACUCAUAUAUAUAUAUGACCUAUGGGGGAAUCUAUAGCUUGAUUAAAGAAUGAUAGUUGAGAGAAUAAUUAAUCAAAUUAUUGAUAAAAUCACAGUAAACAAGAAUAUUAUAUUAAAGUGAUGCGAAUGAUUGUUUUAAUGGCCAUUGAAAUUUUGAAAUGGUAUCGGAUGCUUCAUGUGAUAAUCCUACCAAUGAAAUUCUUAAAGAUUGCUUUUGUCAGAGAAUUUUAAUCCCAUGUAAAAUCUUGUAAGUAAAGGUAUCAAAUGAAUAAAAAAUAAAAAAUAAAUGGAGAAUAAAACUAAAAAAUCAUUGGUAGGACAUAGACCAACAAAUCAAUAGAACAAUUGGAAAAAGUAAAAGAAUCUUUUAAAAGGCAACAUAUAGCUAGAAAAAUUACAUGGAAGAUGUAUCAUGCAAAAUUAAAUUGGUUACAUAACAAAUCAAGUGGAAAUAAAAGCAAUAAAGUUCUUAAUUAUUAAUUAGUGGCACCUAAUAUGAUGUAGCAAGAAUAUAGGAUAGAAUAUAUUAGGAAUUAUAAUAUUUAAGUUACUUUAGUAUUUAGUGUUUUAUUAGGAUUUAUCUUAUUUCAUUAAGCUUAUUUGAGUCGUAUUUGUAAUUCCAGUUUAUUUAAAGUUUUAGAUUAUUUCUCUUAUUUGAGAAAGAUUAAAAUUGAGUUAGCUACUUGUAUAUAAGCUUGUUGUUUACACUUUAUUAGAACACCUUUAAUCUUUCAUAAUAACAUUUUAGAUUAUUCCCUUUUGAGUUUAUCGUUGUCGUUAAUUCGAUAUUUUUUUCUCUUUAAGAGCUAUUCUUUCUUGAUUUUCAAGAACUUAAACUAGAACGACAUUAAUUAUCACUUCUGCGUUGUGUCAAGUGGUAUCAGAGUCUUUUUAUGUACCAAGCAGAGCUUUCUUGACCAUCAACCACCCUCCAUAUAUAAAAAUCCUUCAUCAUCCAUUAAUUUCAAUAAGUUUAAAAAAAAAAACUAAAGCCAUCUUCACAACCACCACACGCGAUUGUUGCUGUUGCCGUUCUUCUUCUUUCCCAUCGAUCUCCAUCACCAUCAGAGCACCCAAACAUUGCUGACCAUCUUCCAACCGUCAACACCACCAAUAUGCCGCCUUAGGCACACAAAAUACACCAAAACAUUCAUUAAACUGUUGUGAUCUUUGCCGCUCGAUUUUUAGGAAUUUGCCACGAUUUGCUCGCCAUCACCAUACCAUUAUCUUCACUGUCAUCAGCCCUUUCUUUCCAGCUAAUUCCCAUUGCCAUCCGUUAUCCAAUUCAUCGAAAACCAAGACAAAUCUCUAAUCGCCAUUUCAAUUCAGUAUUCUGAUCAAUGCACAACGAUUUGAGUCAAACCACCACUGUCAUCACACUCACCAACUUCAAAUCUUUCAUAUCCAACUAUCCUUCUCCAAUUUUCUGAUCAUUAUCGCCGACAACACAAUCUUUGAACUAAUUAUACAUUUUACCUAUACUUUCUUUUAAUUAUAUUUUUUCCCUUUAAUUUUUCUAUUCUUAUAAAAAAAACUCCAAAAAAUCACAGUAGACAAGAAUAUUAUAUUAAAGUGAUGCGAAUGGUUGUUUUGAUGGCCAUUGAAAUUUUGAAAUGGUAUCGGAUGCUUGGUUUGAUAAUCUUACUAAUGAACUUUUUAAAGAUUGCUUUUGUUAGAGAAUUUUAAUCUCGUGCAAGAUCUUGUAAGUAAAUAUGUCAAACAAAAAAUAAAUAGAAAAUAAAUGAGAAUAAAACCAAUCACACAACAUAUGAAUUUACAUGAAAAACUAAAACCACUCUAGUAUUUUCUUCACACCCAAAACUCCAAUAACGUCAAAUCUCUCAAUAGACCUACUGUUUUUUUGACAUUACAAACUAUCUAAUUGAUUUUUUUCUUAUACAAACAAGUGAAUCCAACUUCCCCAUAUAUAAUGAUUAUUUUCUAUCAGAGUCCCAAAGGGAAAAUUAAUUAUUCCUUAAGUAUGAAUCUUUCUGAGUAAGAAAAUUACUAAAUAAGAAAAAUAUAAGAAAUAUCCUAAUUUAGGAUUUCAAAAUCCUCAUUGAAAAAGGAGACAUAUUUCCUAAUCUCCACCUUAGCGAGUUUUUCAAUUAGGUAACAAAAAAUGAUCCACCAUAUAUCCACACAACCAUGUUGCCUUCACCUUAUUUACUUUUCCAAAAUCACACUCACAUAGGUCUUAUAAGAAUCACUCUACCAGCAACCAUAAUUCUUUACAUUGAGAAUCAUCAUACUCCACUUUAUUCAGAGUACAUAUAUUGAUCAUCUUACUAAAAAUAUCCACCCUCAUGUUUGGCUUUCUUGAAGUUCGAUAUAAAAGGUCCACCACACACCUUACAUAAAUGUCGAACCAUAUCUUAUGUACAAAUCUUGUAGACCCACUAAUAGUAACAUAUCCUUCAUGGCAUGCCAAAAAGGAUAAACCAGUCUCUCAUAAAGAGAAAAUACACACAACUAGCUGACAUUAUCAGUAUUUCCAUCUAUUGACUUAGAGCUACUUGUUGAACCUACUCCAUUCUAACAAACUUUUUUAAGGUUCCCUCAUUACCUACACAUCUCUAGUAGUUUCCACAAGUGGCAACAAGAUUUAUAUCGCCCUUGCUUUCCUUAUGUAACCAGAUUGAAUCAAUAUAUCAUUGAUUUCAAAUUGUCACAAGCCAAAAUUGAUUAUUUCAUUAGAAUUUUCUAUUUUUGCCCUCACAAAUUUUGAAAACUUCCUUAUUGUCAUACUUGCUCCGCGUUGAAACCUUAGUUCUGAUACCAUUUAUUAGGAAAUUCUAAUCCCACGCAGGAUCUUGCAAGCAGAAAUAUCAAACAAAUAAUAGAUAAAGAAUAAAAAUGAUAACAAAACGCAAGAAUUUACAUGGAAAACUAAUAUUUUGGAGAAAACAUGUGGCCGCCAAAAACGACAAGGAAAAAAAUCUACUAUUACAGAAUUAUUUCAAUCAUUAGUAUUUUUGUCACACUUACAACUACAAUAAUACCCAAUUUCUCAAUGGACCUACCGUUUCUCUAAUAUUAAAAAUGAUCUACUUGCAGAGAAAUUGAUUGUUGAAUUAUACAAACAAGUGAACCCAACCUUCUUAUAUAUAGUGAUUAUUUUUUGCAGGAAAAUUACUUCUUUCCUUAUAUAGGUUGUACUCCUAUUUGAAUAAGUUAAAUACCAAAGAGGAAAUCAUUUAUUCCUUAAAUUAGAAUCCUCCUUAAUAAGAAAACUAUUGAAUAAGCAACACUUAGGAAAUUUACUAAUUUAAGAUCUACAAAUCUUCAUUGAGAACUUCGACAUAUUUCCUAAUAAUUUAUAUAUUUUAAUAAUGAAAGUUGCAUGCAUAAUCAUGAAUUGAUAACUGUAUAUAAACCACCAGAUCAAUAGAACAAUUGGAAAAAGCAAAAGCGCCAUUUAAAAAGCAGCAUAUAGCUAGAGAGAUUACAUGGAAGAUUGUAUCAUGCAAAAUGAAAUUGUUUAUGAAAUAAAUCAAAUAGAAAUAAAAUCAAUAAAGUUCUUAAUUAUUAAUUAGGUGCCUAGUUUGUUACAUUGGGCACCUACUAUGAUAUAGGAAGAAUAUAGGAUAGAAUAUAUUAGGAAUUAUAAUAUUUGAGUUAAUUUAGUAUUUAGUAUUUUAUUAGGAUUUAUCUUAUUUUAUUAAUCUUAUUUGAGUCAUAUUUGUAAUUGUGGUUUAUUUAGAAUUUUAGAUUAUUUCUCUUAUCUGAGAAAGAUUAGAAUUUAGUUAGCUUUUAGUGUAUAUAGACUUGUUAUUCAUAUUUUAUUAUAACACUUUUAAUCUUUCAUAAUAAUAUUUCAGAUUAUUUCCUUUUGGGUUUAUCUUUUCCGUUAAUUCAAUGUUUUCUCUCUUUGAAAGUUAUUCUUCCAUAAGUUUCAAAAACUAGAACAAUAUCUAACAUCGCUUCUGCACUACGUCAAAUGGUAUCAAGGUCUUUCUUUGUGCCAAGCAAAGCUUUCCUGACCAUCAACCAACUUACAUUCACAAAUCCUUAUUCCAUCAUCCAUUAAUUCCACCAAGUUUGAAAAAAAAAAGAAAAAAAGAAGCCUUCUUCAUAGCCACCACACGUGGCUAGCGCUACUAUCAUUCUUCUUCCUUCCCGUCGAUCCCCAUAACCAUCAGAACACCCACACACUGCCCACCAUAUCCCAAUCAUCAACACCACCAAUACGCUACCAUAGUGUUGAGCGUUAGAAAAUGCAUAUUUAUAAAGGAGAAAACCGUCAUUUUACAUUUCAAGUCUUACUAACAACCCUUACUUUUAUGUAUUUAAUAUUCUUGUGAUUUAAUUACGUGUGUUUUAUUUUAAUUAAGUAAUUUAUGUAUUUUAGGGGCAUUAUAGUCAUUUCACAAUAAAGGAGAGAUUAGACGGCAAAACGGACAUCACUUUUGAACUCAGGACGGUCGAAAACCUUAGGAGGAGCAUAAAAGGAAAAAUGGCACUAUUCAUAUGUACGGUACUAUUCACGUGUACGGUACUAACUACGUUACUGUUCACAACACUGUUCACAUAGACGGAUCGAUGACGUGGCAUUGACCGAUGAUGUGGCAUUGACUGAUGAGGUGUCACGAUCCUGUUGGGCUAAAAUUCUUAUGUACUGUUGAUGGUGACGUGGCAGCAUAUCAGUGGAUGAAAAAUAUCGCGUACGGUACAUGCAUCACACAGGAUUAUUUUCAACCAAACCGCGUUACUGUUCAUCCGAGUCAAACCGCGUUACUUGUUGUGCAAAUUUUAAUGUACUCGCAAGCGCACGAAUCUAUUGUAGUAUAGAUUAAUGGUGACGAGUGUCGAUCCCACGAGGAGGUGGAUUUUAAUUGUGUAUAGAAUUAAUUUUGUAAAUCGGGGAUUGGAUUUGUGGUGGAAAUGAUUUGGGAUAUGCUAAAACUUAAAUUAAAAUGGCGAGAAUAAAUUCUAAAAUUGGAAUUGAAAUGGCGAGAAUAAAUUGAAGAGAAUUCUAUUAAAAUGACGUACUUGGGUAUCUGGAUCCGUAUCAACAUGCAUCAUGGGCUAAAUAAUCCUUAUUAAUGCCAAUUAAAUCAUGAGGGGGGAAUCCACACCUCAUGAACCACGCUCUAAUCAAUAUGGUGCUAAGGGCUUAUCGUGCCAAAUAAUAAUAACCUUAUACUAGAGAGCCGGUGUAACCAAGGCGGUAUCUAGACAAGAUUAUUAUUAUUUGUCGACGAGAAGUCAAAACAUCCACAAAAACUAGAGGGGAAGUGAAAAUAAAUUUACCAAAUUAAGCCCAUGACACAUGUUGAGACUUCACCUUCAACCCAAGCUUGAAAGAAAAUUAGCCACUCAUAAUUGAACUAGGGGCAAAAUGGAAAUUUAUUAAAAUACGUAGAAACUACAAGAUGGAGAAGGAAUUACAGAGAAUGGAUCCCAAAAAUUGAUUCAGAGAUAUCAAAUUAGGGGGGAGAGGCCCCCUUUUUAUAGAUACAUGGAAUAAAUCAUGGCCAUCGGAUUAAAAACAGUUUGGACGCUCAGGAUUGCGCCACGUCAUCAGUCAACAAUCCACGGUUUGACCACGCGGAUGAACAGUAACAAGGUUUGACCCGACUUUGAACAGUAACGCGGUUUGACUCAGAUGAACAGUAACGCGGUUUGACUCGGAUGAACAGUAACGCGGUUUGGUUGAAAAUAAUCCUGUGUGAUGCAUGUACCGUACGCGAGAUUUUUCAUCCACUGAUAUGCUGCCACGUCACCAUCAACAGUACAUAAGAAUUUUAGCCCAACAGGAUCGUGACACCUCAUCAGUCAAUGCCACAUCAUCGGUCAAUGCCACGUCAUCGAUCCGUCUAUGUGAACAGUGUUGUGAACAGUAACGUAGUUAGUACCGUACACGUGAAUAGUACCGUACAUAUGAAUAGUGCUAUUUUUCCUUUUAUGCUCCUCCUAAGGUUUUCGACCGUCCUGAGUUCAAAAGUGAUGUCCGUUUUGCCGUCUGAUCUCUCCUUUAUUGUGAGAUGACUAUAAUGCCCCUAAAAUACAUAAAUUACUUAAUUAAAAUAAAACACACGUAAUUAAAUCACAAGAAUAUUAAAUACAUAAAAGUAAGGGUUGUUAGUAAGACUUGAAAUGUAAAAUGACGGUUUUCUCCUUUAUAAAUAUGCAUUUUCUAACGCUCAACACACCCCCCAACCAGCUUAUUGCUAGUCCCUAGCAAAUAAAGCGAAAACAAAAUUCAAAUUCAAAAUGAUUUUUUUUUUUUUUUUUUUUUUUUUGAAACACUCGUAUUUAUUCAAUCAGAUUAAUGAUAGCAAUCAAAUAAAAGUAUAAGCAUUAUCUCCAGUCUAAAGAAAUAUCACACCCAUAUUAACCAUCCACAUGAAUCAGCCCAGUAGACUUUGUUAUAUCGACUUUCAAGAAUGACAUGUCAAACCCCAAAAUCUCACUGGAAGUGGUGACACUCUCACAAAUAAAUUAAACCCACUAAAAAUAGUCACUCCAAUGAAUGGUAAUUGAGAGAGAAAAUAAUAAAGAAGUGAUAUCACAUGCUCUCACCAAGAUGAAAUAAAUAUGCCCUCAGCUUAGAAAUAAUACGAUCUCAAGUCAAACAAAAAUGCUAGUCAACCCAAUUUAUUUAUUUUUUUUUUCUUUUAUUUAUUUAUUUAUUUUUUGUUCUGCACCACUAUAUCUUUUUAGCCCAUAUAACUAGCUUCUACUUCAAACUAUAGUUCCCUAAAAUCAAGAAGGACUUUUAUUAGGACGUAACGUAGGCUAGGGACAUGGCUAACAAAGAAGGGAAAUAGGGAAAACAAAGUUUAUGUUUGAGAAAAAUGCAGACAAUUUUUUUUUUUUUUUUUGAAAGUUGCAAGGUGGAUUUCACCUAUUAUUUUUUUUUUCUUUUGAAACAACAACUUUUGUUUUUUUUUUUUUUUUUGCUUUUAUUUGGCAUAACUUUACUGAACAACAUAAUUAUUUACAUUUUCUCAAACAUAAAUAGGUGAUGGAACUUAUAAGAUAUCGGGUAAUACUCCAAAUCGAAGUGGGUCAAGAGGAUAAGUUUGACAAAGAAAGGUUUUUUUUUUUUUUUUUUUUUAAAGGCUCAAAAGGGUUAACUAUGGAUAUUUGAUAAAAGGGAUGGCUAGAAAGGCUCAAACGGAUCAAAGAUGGCCUUUCCAUCGUCUUUUAGGGCUCUAAAUAAUCUUCCAUAUCUACUAGUUAGAUGGGCCUCCAAAUGUAGCAACACACAUUUUUUUUUUUUUAAUUUUACAAAUAUAUAUAUAUAUAUAUAUAUUUUAAGGGUUAAAUCAAAAAAAAUCUAGAGAUCGUGUAUACAAUAAUAAACUGUUAAGUUGUAUAAAGAAUGGGCAAAAGGGGUACUCUCCAAGAAAAAUGAUAGGCUCAAAAACUCACUUGGUACUUAUUAUGACAUGUUCAUUCUUCAAGCAACUCAUAUUUGUCUCCAACAUCAACAUGUAGAGUAGCAAACAUAAUGUAACAUCACUUAAGACCAAAGAUAAUACAAAUACUAAAAUUUGAAAUUAAUCAUGUCAUCCAAUGUUAAAACAAAUCACACAAUUUUUUAUUUUUUUAUUUUCAACAACAUUCUACCCCCCAACCUAUUCUAAGCAUGAAAGGAAAAUAUGCAUGCAGAAAUGUGAAAAUGAUGCAUAAAAACUAAUAAGAAAAGUUACACGUAAAAUGAUAGAAAAUGAAAAUGAUUUUUUUUUUUUAAAGAAGAUGCGUUUCUAGAGGAACUACACUCCAUAUUCAGCCAUCUUCGACUCAAAAGUUGGAAAAUGUAUAUUUAUAGAGGAGAAAUUAAAAAGAAGAAAAAUAAACAUAAACACAUAAUAAAGAAAAAGAAAAUGUCUGAAUUUUUUUUCUUUGUUUUUAGUUUUUUUUUUUUUUUAAACGAUGAAGAUGCGUUUCUAGAGUCACUACACUCCAUAUUCAGCCAUCUUCAACACAAAAAGUUAGCAAUAGUUAGUUUCUACAACAAAAAAUCAGUAAAAACUUAACCAAGAUUCCACAAUUGUCGACUAUUCCCUCCCCCAACCAGAACGAAACAUUGUCCUCAAUGUUUGAAAUGAAAGCAGUAGAGUUUAGAAGACAUCACCUGGGUGGUGCAACACAGAAGAAAAUAUUUACAGGCGGAGAGUUAAAUCUAAUUUGUACUUCUUACUGCGGCUACUGUUACCAUUAUUAUUUGGUCGCUCCAACACAAAGGUCCAGGGGUCUGGCUCCGGUUUAUAAGCUUGUAACAUAUCAAGUAGCUCAUUAGCAGUGUGAGCACAAAUAAAGAGUUUUUUCACAUUAGAAGGAAUGAAAUAGUUUUUUAUUGCAUGGUUAAGAAAUGCGAUAAAGCCAUCAUAAAAGUUAUUGACAUUUAACAAACCGAUGGGUUUCUGGUGAAUGUGUAGAUGGGCCCAAGAUGCUAGUGUCAUAAGUGCCUCUAGUGUUGCAAGAUCUCCUGGAAGGAAAAUAAAAGCAUCAGCAUGAUUAAGCAUUUCAGUUAUUCUUUCUUACAUACCUGAGACGACUAACUCUUCUCCAGUUGAUGAGUCAGACGAACUGCCCAAUGGUUUUAGGACUCUUGGGAUGAUGCCUAACACUUGACUUCCUCUGAUAAAAGCUACUUCUGAGACCAUUUUUGAUAACCCUCGGUUACCUCCUCCAUACACCAAAUGUAAUUUUCUCGCUGCUAUGCUUCGACCAAGAUCUAUGGCUGCCUCCACGAACUCUUUAUGUUUGCCAUAGGUAAAUCCAGAAAGCACACAAAUGUUCUUGAAUUGUCUAUUGGGAGUAGCUGCCAUUGUGAUACUUCUCAAAAACAAUUUGUGAGUGCUUGACAAAAGAUAAAUCACAUUUAAGAAUCUUGGUGACAGUGGAUCACAACUGUGAAUGAGGUAACAUGUCAGUGUCAAAUAACGCGUAAAGCACGUGGCUCGCGAGUCAAAAAGGAAACAGUAAAAAGGAAAAAGCAAACAGUAACAAAAUUAUUAAAGACAAUAAUGCAAACAAUAAAACAACAGUGAAAUGAAAUAAAAUAACAGUAAAGUAAAAGGAUAUUUACACGUAGUUGCGACUGUGGCUCACAUCUUCCUUUGGUUUUACGUCCAGAAACGGCUUGAACGCCCUCUAUGGGUCGAGGAUGGGCUUCCCAUCCAGUUUUCUUAUAAACUGGCAAACAGGGUCGUUUAUAGUCAGAUUCCCGAGACUAUAUCGUGCAUGCUCUUUUUAGAAUAAUGGCCAUAACUGGAGAAUCGCUCCUUACACAUAUCCACUGGGAUGCGUUUCAAGAGACAGAAGGAUAUCAUCCAAUGACUCCUUAUUCAAGCCAUCCCUAAUGAAUUGAAUCUUAUCUUCUCUGUUAUCAGACACCAUUCCUAAAGAACAUGGGUUUCUAUCGCAACUCAUUCUGGCACACUUAUGACAAGCAACAGAAAUUCUUCGAGCUCGUCGUUUUCUUGCAUAAUUUCCUUUACACAACCAGGCAUGUAUGCAAUAAAUUUUGGAGGUAACUCACCUGCCAAUCGUACUUUAGCCUCGAUUAACCAACGGAUGUCAGCAGGUAUGUUAUUCUUCAUGAGCAAUCGCAUGCGUUCGGACCGAGCUUUAAAGAUUGUAAGGAGGGCAUUCUGAGGAAGUGAAUGGAAUCGCUUGUGAAGCUUUGCUAAAAUCUCGUUUCUAUCCAUACCUUCGCCUCAGAAUAUCAGUUAUUAUGGGAAACUGAAGUAACCGACUUGAUUGUCAUGGAGUACCGUUAUCCGCCACUUCACCGGGGUAACAAACUAAAGCACACAAACAGAAAAACAAAUUAAAACACACAAAGAAAAUUAAAAUCGUCCUCUUAUUGAAUUUACCUCAAGCUCCAACUGGAUGUCGUAAACACUUCUCUCAAUGUCUCUGAGUUGGCUUUCUAAACCCUCAACAUAGGCUACUAACUCUGGUGGUUGUAGAGCCCAAAUGCGAUGUGUUUUACAAAAUUGAAUCUGCCUUUUGAGAUGAGUUUUGACACGUUGAAGUGGUUUAAGAAUGUUCAGGAGGAACGGUCUAAGUAAGGUACUCAUGAUUAAAAAUGAUAAGAGAAAACUUAAUUGUUAAACAAACACACUUAUGCAAAAAUAAUUUCAAUUAGCAAAAGAAUAAUAAAAAGAAAGAAAGAAAAAUCAAAUCAACGAAAAGAAAAAACAAAUCAAUUCAAAUCUGGUGGGUCACUCAAAUUUAUUUCGGUGUCUUCUCCAUGUAGUUGGUAUUCUAGAUAUGACUUUAAUCUUUGACCAUUAACUUUAAACGUGACACCGUUCUUUGGGUCCUUAAUUUCAAUUGCCCCAUGUGGAAAAACAGUAUGUACAAUAAAUGGGCCAGACCAACGAGAGCGUAACUUACCUGGGAAUAGGUGCAAACGAGAAUUGAAUAAAAGCACUUUCUGACCUGGAGUGAACGAUUUUCUCAUAAUGUGCUUGUCAUGAAAGACUUUCAUUCGUUGCUUGUAAAUUUUGGCAUUUUCGUAUGCAUCAUUGCGAAUUUCUUCAAGUUCUGUCAGUUGUAAUCUUCAUUCUGAGCUGGCUUGCUGCAUGUCAAAGUUGAAUUUCUUGAUGGCCCAAUACGCACGAUGCUCGAGUUCCACAGGUAGGUGGCAAGCUUUUCCAUUCACUAGCCUGUAGGGUGACAUCCCAAUUGGGGUCUUGAAAGCCGUUCUAUAUGCCCAUAAUGCAUCAUCAAGUCUUAAUGACCAAUCUUUUCUGUCUGGCCUCACCGUCUUUUCUAAUAUGUGCUUUAUUUCUCGAUUGGAGAUUUCAACUUGGCCACUGGUUUGCAGAUGAUAUGGGGUUGCCACUUUGUGUGUGAUUGAAUACUUUGUCAAAAGAGCUUUGAAUGCUUUGUUACAAAAGUGGGCACCACCAUCACUGAUUAUCGCUCGAGGGAAUCCAAAGCGUGAAACAAUGUUGCUUUUCAAAAAUCCUAUCACCACUUUGUGAUCAUUGGUCCUACAUGGAAUUGCUUCUACCCAUUUCGAGACGUAGUCAACACCAACCAAUAUGUAUUGAUGGCCAAAAGAAGGGGGAAAGGGUCCCAUGAAGUCGAUACCCCAUACGUCAAAAAUCUCAACCACUAAAAUUGGAUUUAGUGGCAUCAUGUUCCUUCGUGCAAUGCUUCCCAUUCGUUGACACCUAUCACAUGAAGAACAGAAAGUGUAAGCAUCUCGAAAUAUAGUUGGCCAAUAGAAACCACAUUGUAAAACUUUAGUCGCUGUUUUCUUAGCACUGAAAUGGCCUCCACAAGCUUGUUCAUGGCAGAAUGAAAGGAUAUUUUGAAUUUCACUUUCUGGGACACAUCGUCUAACAAUUUGGUCUGCACAAUACUUGAACAAAUACGGGUCAUCCCAAAAGAAAUUCUUUAUUUCUGCAAAGAAUUUAGCCUUGUCUUGCUUGGUCCAAUGCUCUGGAAGUUUACCUGUAACAAGAUAAUUAACUAUAUCAGCAUACCAAGGUAAUACUUCCACAUUAAUUAAUUGUUCAUCUGGAAAUGACUAAUUCAAUGGUAAUGAUUCUGUAAUUGUGUCAAAAUGGAGACGAGAGAGGUGGUCCGCCACAACAUUCUCUGUGCCUUUCUUAUCUUUGAAUUCCAAGUCAAACUCCUGCAAAAGUAACACCCAACGAAUUAGUCUAGCUUUUGCAUGUUUCUUUGUGAUAAGAUAUUUAAGAGCAGCAUGAUCUGUAAAUAUAAUUAUUUUACAACCAAUGAGAUAAGAUCGAAAUUUUUCCAAUGCAAACACUAUUGCUAGCAUUUCUUUUUCAGUAGUUGAAUAGUUCAACUGUGCAUCAUUCAAUGUCAUACUAGCAUAAUAAAUAACAUGGGGAAUUCGAUCAACUCUUUGUCCUAAUACUGCUCCUACUGCAUAAUCAGAUGCAUCACAUAUGAGUUCAAAUGGUAAGCUCCAGUUCAGGGCCUGAAUGAUGGGUGAUGAUGUCAACAACUGCUUUAAUUUUUCAAAAGCCACAAGACAUGAAUCAUUAAAGAUAAAAGGUACAUCCUUAGCAAGUAAAUUGCAUAAGGGUCUAGAAACUUUGCUAAAAUCUUUAAUGAAACGUCUAUAGAAACCAGCAUGCCCAAGGAAAGAUCUUACUUCUCUGACUGUUUUGGGUGGAGGAAGAUUAGAAAUGAGAUCCACCUUGGCUUUGUCAACCUCAAUACCUUUUCUCGAAAUGAUGUGACCGAGAACAAUACCUUGUUUUACCAUAAAAUGACACUUCUCCCAAUUCAAGACUAAGUUUUUCUCGGUACAUCUCUGUAGAACUAGCGUUAGAUGAUGUAAACAUUGAUCAAACGAGUCACCAAAGACAGAAAAAUCAUCCAUAAAGACUUCAAGGAAUCGUUCAACCAUAUCAGAAAAAAUGCUCAACAUGCAUCGUUGAAAUGUAGCAGGUGCAUUACAUAAUCCAAAUGGCAUUCUCCUAUAUGCAAAUGUGCCAAAAGGGCAAGUGAAAGUAGUUUUCUCUUGAUCUUUUGGUGCUAUGGGAAUCUGAUUAUAUCCUGAGUAGCCAUCUAGAAAGCAAUAAAAUUCAUGGCCUGCUAAUCUAUCAAGCAUUUGAUCAAUAAAUGGUAAAGGAAAAUGGUCUUUUCGUGUGACAGAAUUCAACUUUCUAUAAUCAAUGCAUACAUGCCAUCCUGUAGUCACUCUAGUUGGUAUCAAUUCAUUAUCGGCAUUCGUAACUACUGUGACUCCUGACUUUUUAGGGACAACUUGUACAGGACUGACCCAUGAACUAUCAGAAAUUGGGUAAAUGAUACCUGCGUCUAAUACCUUAAGGACUUCUGUUCUAACAACUUCUUUCAUAUUAGGAUUUAACCGACGUUGCAUUUCCCUAGUAGAUUUAGCAUUUUCAUCAAGGUGAAUGUAGUGCAUGCAAUCUGCAGGGUUUAUACCUUUUAUGUCUGCUAUGGUCCAUCCUAAUGCCCCUUUGUGCUCUUUCAAAACAUCCAACAACUUACCUUUUUGUUCGUCAUUAAGGGAUGAUGAAAUGAUUACCGGUAAAGUAUUUUCUUCCUCCAAAAAUGCAUAUUCCAAAGUGUUGGGUAAUGGUUUGAGAUCGAGUUUCGGUGGUGAUUCUGAUGAUGGGAUGAGUUUCUUCUCUGAUGGUGCUAGUUGUUCAACUCUUGACUUCCAUUUAUUAGUGUCCAUAGAUGGUGCUGAGUCAAGUAGGGCAUUGACCUCUUCGACCGAUCUGUCAAUAUCAAAAUCAAAACCAAAGUGAGUUAAACAUGUUUGUAAAGGAUCAUCACUAAGGUUUGAAACAAAAGUAUCAUCAACUAAUGCUUCAAUUAAAUCCACAUCAACAAUUCCAUCAUCUGCACUGUGAGGUUGUUUGGCAAUGUUGAAGAUGUUUAGCUCCAUAGUCAUGUUGCCGAAAGACAACUGCAUAUUUCCGGUCCUGCAUUGAAUGUGAGCAUCCACAGUUGCCAAGAAAGGUCGGCCUAGAAUAAUGGGGAUGUGCUUCCUUGAAUCCUGUAUUGGUUGAGUGUCAAUUAUAAUGAAAUCAACAGGAAAAUAAAACUUGUCUACCUGGAUAAGCACGUCCUCCACAAUACCACGAGGUAUUUUUGUGGACCGAUCUGCAAGCUGUAACACCACUGGAGUUGGGUGUAAUUCUCCCAGUCUAAGUUUCACGAAUACUGAAUAAGGCAACAGAUUUACACUAGCUCCUCAAUCCAACAAAGCAUUCUCAAUUGUAUGGUUCCCUAUACUACAUGAGAUAGUGGGGGAGCCUGGGUCUUUGCAUUUUAAAGGAAUUUUAUGUUGGAGUAUAGAACUAACGUUUUCUAUUAAAAAUGCCUUCUUUUGAACAUGCAUAUUUCUCUUUUUAGUACAAAGGUCUUUAAGAAACUUGGCAUAAGAUGGAACUUGUUUAAUAGCAUCAAGCAAAGGGAUAUUAACACUUACCUGUUUGAAGAUUUCGAGAAUCUCACCUGUGGAUUUUCCCUUCUUGCCUUUCGCUAACCUCUGAGGAAAUGGAGCUUUCGGAACGUAUUCUCGUGGGUUGGUUUCUUCUUUCUCCUCCGGUGGUGAGUCUUCAACAUUCACAGGUACAAUUUGAUUUUCUUUUGUCACCGGCAUCUCCACUUUGUUGUCGACUUCUUUUCCUUUUCGCAAGGUCAUGACUGCUUUGACCUCUCCAUGCUGCUGUGGUGAACUGGUACUUGCUUCAUGUACCCCUUUAAGAUUAGGCACUGGUUGACUUGGAAAUUUUCCUUUCUCAACAGUCAUUGCCAAGGUCUGAACUGAAGAAGCAAGUUGUCCCACCAUCUUCUCGAGGCUUGAAACUGAUUGGGCUUGUGAGUUGAAGCCCGCUCUCAAUUCAUUUCGUAGUCCAUCAAUGGUGCGGUUUUGUUACUCAAUUGUGGAGUGAGUAACAUUCUUGAAAUUCUGGAAUGCAUCCUCCCAUGGUCUGGGUUGUAAGUAGUUCUGGUUUUGAUUGUAUGGUCUAAAUGGGGGCUGAGAGGCUUGAGGAUUUUGAGGAAUUGGUUGCAUUGGUGGAGCUGGAGCUGCUGGUCCAUUCUGUUGGAGUCCUUGAGACCAUGAAAAAUUGGGGUGGUCUCUCCAUCCAGGGUUAUAUGUGUUAGAGUAUGGGUUGUAAUUAGAUGGCUUUCUCAUUACACCGAUGGCAUUGGCUUGAUCUGAGUAUGAGUCAUGGUCAUGUGGCUCUGUUGAUUUAGCAGUCGAUAACGAUGCUAUUUGUCGAGCAAGACCUUCAACCAUCUCCUUGACUUCUUUGAUUCCCGAAGUUGACUCGCCAAUUUGAACCUCAUUUACUCCCUUAAUUCUUCUAGUAUUCCUGAGUGAUCGACUCCGUUGUUGGGAAUUAUCCGCUUGUCGCUGGAAGAAUUCUCAAAUCUCUGAUGCACUUUUUGACAUUAGCUCUCCUCCACUUGUUGCCAUUAGUCAUUCUUACACAUUCGGCAAUAAUCCCUCCAAAAAGUAUUGGCAUUGAUGUCAUUUCUCGUACCCAUGAUGUGGACACUUCAAGAGUAGCCCAUUGAAUCGCUCCCAUGUCUCGAAAAACUGCUCGUCCUCUCUCUGAGUAAACUCUGAGAUUUCCCUGCGAAUAGCAUUGGUUUUAUGCACUGGGAAAUAUUUAUUCAAAAAUUUAGUUACCAUUUGUUCCCAUGAUGAAAUGCUAUUAGCAGGCAACGUAUUUAACCAUGAACGAGCUCUAUCCUUUAAAGAAAAUGGGAAUAAUCUGAGUUUAACAUCAUCGUCUGAAAAAUUCUCAUAUUUAAAUGUUUGACAAAUGGCAUGAAAAUCAUUCAGAUGAUUAUAUGGAUCCUCAUUUUCUAGGCCAUAAAAUGUGGGGAGACAAUUUAACACACUAGGUUUUAAUUCAAAACUCCUAGCAGCUACAUUUGGGUAUCUUAUGCAUGAUGUGCUCAAAUUAGCUAAGGGACUAAAAUAGUCCUUAAAUGGCCUCUCCUGUGGUGCUUGUAAAUCCAUUCCAAAUUUAUUUUUAAUGUGCUUUUGUGUGCGAAGUGUUUUCUCUAAUUCAAGGUCUAUAGGUUCAAGAUUAGGUAAUAAUGACCUACGACCAUGCAUACAAACACAAAUAAAAUAAAAAUAAAGAUGGGAACAAAACAAAUAAAAAUAAAGAAGAGGGAGAAAUUACGAUACUAACCUUAUUGCGCUGUUACAACCUUUCUAUAAAAAUACACAAAAAUAAAUACGUGAAAUAAAUUAACUAAAAAUUAAAUUAAUAAAAUAAACAAAAAAUUACAAAGAAAGAAAAAAAAUAAAUUGAAAAUUAAAUUACAAAAUUUUAAAGAAGAGAAAAAGAAAAGAAAUACUAACCUUUAAUUUUAGAUUCACUUUUUUUUUAAAUAAUAAAAAAUACAAGAAAACAAUUAAAUGGAAUUAUUCACAAAAAUUAAUUCUAUGAAUUAAAAUUACUUACCUCCCCGGCAACGGCGCCAAAAACUUGUUGUGCAAAUUUUAAUGUACUCGCAAGCGCACGAAUCUAUUGUAGUAUAGAUUAAUGGUGACGAGUGUCGAUCCCACGAGGAGGUGGAUUUUAAUUGUGUAUAGAAUUAAUUUUGUAAAUCGGGGAUUGGAUUUGUGGUGGAAAUGAUUUGGGAUAUGCUAAAACUUAAAUUAAAAUGGCGAGAAUAAAUUCUAAAAUUGGAAUUGAAAUGGCGAGAAUAAAUUGAAGAGAAUUCUAUUAAAAUGACGUACUUGGGUAUCUGGAUCCGUAUCAACAUGCAUCAUGGGCUAAAUAAUCCUUAUUAAUGCCAAUUAAAUCAUGAGGGGGGAAUCCACACCUCAUGAACCACGCUCUAAUCAAUAUGGUGCUAAGGGCUUAUCGUCGACAAAUAAUAAUAAUCUUGUCUAGAUACCGCCUUGGUUACACCGGCUCUCUAGUAAAAGGUUAUUAUUAUUUGGCACGAUAAGCCCUUAGCACCAUAUUGAUUAGAGCGUGGUUCAUGAGGUGUGGAUUCCCCCCUCAUGAUUUAAUUGGCAUUAAUAAGGAUUAUUUAGCCCAUGAUGCAUGUUGAUACGGAUCCAGAUACCCAAGUACGUCAUUUUAAUAGAAUUCUCUUCAAUUUAUUCUCGUCAUUUCAAUUCCAAUUUUAGAAUUUAUUCUCGCCAUUUCAAUUUAAGUUUUAGCAUAUCCCAAAUCAUUUCCACCACAAAUCCAAUCCCCGAUUUACAAAAUUAAUUCUAUACACAAUUAAAAUCCACCUCCUCGUGGGAUCGACACUCGUCACCAUUAAUCUAUACUACAAUAGAUUCGUGCGCUUGCGAGUACAUUAAAAUUUGCACAACACAUAGCCACCGAAAACACACCAAAACAGCCGCUAAAUCGUUGUGAUCUCCACCGUCGAUUCUUUGGAAUCUGCCAUGAUUUGCUUACCGCCACCAUUAACAAUCUGUUCACUAUCAUCAACCUUUUCUUUUUGGCAUAUUCCUACAAUCAUCCACCAUCCCGUUCACCAAAAAUCAAAACAAACCUCCAACCGCCACUUCAAUUCAAUAUUCUGAUCAAUCCCUAAUGAUUUGAGUAAAACCACCACUACCAUCACACUCUCCGACCUAAAAUCUUUUAGAUCCAUCUAUUCUUGUCUAAUUUUCUAAUCUCCGUCACCGGUAUCAUAAUCUUUGACUUAAUUAUAAAUUUUACCCAUACUUUCUUUUAAUUAUAUUUUUGCCCUUUAAGUUUUCCAUUCUCAUAAAAGCUCUAAAAAAAUUAAAAGAAAAGGUACAAUGAGAUAUAAAAGAGAUGAUGAUGAUCUUUUCUAUUAUGAUGGAUUUACUAAUCCUGAGGAUAUUUUCGAUUGGAUCUUUAAAUUUGAAGAUACUCUUGGAGAUAUUUUAAAGGAUAAACAUGUUGAGUACAUGUCCUCUAAAUUAAUGGAACAUGCGUCACAACGGUGGACCAACUUACAAGCAACAUGGAUUCAACAUGGAAGAGAUAAGAUUCAAACUUGGCAUAGCAUGAAAAGAAAAAUAAAAACUUAUUUUAUUCUUCCGGAGUAUUUUCAAACAAUCCUUCGAAAAUUUGAUAAGUUUCAACAAGGUACAAGUUUUAUUGGAAUUAUAAAUCUCAACUUCAAAAUUAUCAUUGUCGUGUGAAUCUUUCUAAAGAUGACGAAGAUGCAAUUUCAAGAUUUGUUAAAAGAUUACGUGCUAAUAUUAAGGAAUAAGUUUUGUUACAACUUGAUGCUACUAAUGAAUAUUGGGGUGUCAUUAAAAUUACUUUAAAAGUUGAAUUGCAAAUCAAGAGAGAUAGAAAACAGGCAUUGAAUAGAUUUGAACAAGUACAAGAGCAUCAUGAGGGUCAAAGAAGAAAAGAUGAAGAGUCUGAUAGGUUUAUUUUACCAAAACCUAAGCUUGAUAGUUCUUUAUCGAAACAAGAUCUUAUAGUGAAAACCUCAUCACCAAAGGAUUCUAUUGUCGAAGAGCAACCUUCUUUCACUCUUGAGGUUAAUAACUUCAAUACAAAAAAAAAAAAUGUUGAGCUUGAUUCUAGAGUUACUAAAGAAGUGUUGAUUGUUCAUGAUUCAAAUAAUAUAGUCAUUAGUGACAAAGGGUUUAUCCAAGAUUUUAAAAUUGAAGAUCUUAGCAUGGAAGAGCAAGUUCCACCAAUGUCAUCAUCAGAAGAAAAGAAUGUCACGAAAGCUUCUUUUAAGGAUAUUUCAAAUGAGCCUAAAGUUUCCAAUAAGUAGGUACAAUCUAUUCUUGAUUUGAGUUUUAUAUCUAAUAAUAUCAUUAAAAUUGUGCAAGAAACUCAAGGUGAAAAAACAUCAAUUGUUCGUGAAGAUGAUAAAGUUAUAUAGUUUUACCAAUUAUUCAUGAAGCUAAGCAAAUUGAUCUUUAAGACUUUGAGACAAUUGAUAUGGUUAUGCCUAUACACAUUGAAGACAAGAAAGUUGUACUCAAAGAACACUUAGCUCAAAAGAGAAAUUGAAUGAAAAGUACAUGAACAAAGCAAGGAGAAAGUUAAAAGUUCCUGCAAGUCUGCAUCUUUUAGAAGAGCCAUACUCAACAAAGAAAAAGAAAUUAAAGCUUUGGUACUCUCAAGUUUCAAGAUAAGUUGAUGCAAAUUGCUAUAUAUUUGCAUUACAAGAUCAAUUACUCCGUUACUACAAGUUUCAUCCUUUAAAUUGUAUUUUGUUAUUAGCAAAACUUGAGGACGAGUUUUUUUCGAAGAUGAGACCUAUGGACGAAGAAUAUAGGGAUAAAAUAUAUUAGGAAUUAUAAUAUUUAAGUUAGUAUUUAGUAUUUUAAUAGCAUUUAUCUUAUUUUAUUAAAUUUAUCUGAGUCAUAUUUGUAAUAAUAGUUUAUUUAUAAUUUUAGAUUAUUUCUCUUAUCUGAGAAAGAUUAAGAUUAAGUUAGCUAUUAGUAUAUAUAGGCUUGUUAUUUAUGGUUUAUUGUUAACACCUUCAAUUUUUCAUAAUAAUUUUCAGAUUAUUCUUUUUUGAGUUUAUCUUUAUCAGUAAUUCGAUCUUUUCUCUUUUUAAAAGUUAGAGUUUCAAGAACAUACACUAGAACAACAUCUAGUUCGCUUCUGCACUGCGUCAUAAUAAUCCUUAGACUAUUGACUAGCUACAAUCAAGUAUGUGUGACUUUUCUGAAUUUUUUUAUUUUUAUAAAACAACAAUGCUGAUCAUGAAACUAAUUUCUUGACAAGUAUGUGCGUGUGUGUAUAAUGCUUUUACUUGCCGCACACUGAAAGUUGAAAAUCAGUUGCACAAAAAGAGUUAUUGUAUAUUCAAAUGUCAUUGUUAUAAAUUAUAAACUAUACAGAUUAAGUGUAGAGGCCGAAUCGUGAAAAAGCGCCAUGCAUAUUGUAUAAAUUAAAUAAGCUGAAGAAAUUGUUUGAGAAAGAAAUGAAAAUAAAAGGUAAAGCAAGAGACCAAUAGCAGAGACUGUGGUCCUUGAUGUCUCCAAGGCAUUUCUCCGAACAGUUGUAUACUCAGGCUCAGCUCCAAUAUUUGAAUAGCUUUGACUAUUUCUUACUAAAAGAGGACACCAAAGCUUUCAUUACCAGCUUCGUUCAAAUUUUCAAUCAUGAUUAUUUGAUAAUAUAUUAGUGAUAAUUCUUUCUUUUUUUGAAAGGAUUUUAUUCUUAUUUAAUAAAACGAUGAAGGACGACAGUGGUUUUUGAGGUAAUUGCCAAAAUUUUAUGUAGUUGGUUGUCGCAUUCUUUCCAACUUUCACAAUCCAUAUAAAUUUAUUGAUAACCAAAUAAAUAGAUGUAAAAUUGAGAACAUUAAAGUUUAUUUUAAUGUUUAAUAAAAAAAUUUCUAAAAUUACUUUUAACAAAGUACUCCAUCUUACAACAGAUUAUAGAUUUAAAAAACCGAAAAUAUAUAGUUAUUCGAAAUCUGAUUAUAAGUAUCAGAUUUGUCUAUAAUUUUCUUCUGCAUAUAUCAAUUCAAGAAAUUAAAUAAUUGAGAUUUUGCCCCGGACAUAGAGAGGCAAGCUUGGUCACAUUCGAAAAUUAUCCUCACGGGAUUUGUUCCUAUGACAGCAAAAUCCAAUGUGAGGAUUGCCAUUUGAAACUGGACCUGCUUGCCAGAAAGUUAAGAAUUUCUUGUCAAAAACCUGAAUUUUUACAAUGUUGUGGAGACUCUGCAAACUGAACCAUGUUGCACUAUGAAUAUUAAGCUUGGGCUUGGGCUUUUGGGGUUAUAUUAAAACCAAGGUUUAAAAGCUGAAUCAUGUGCUGCUUGUGCCCUGUGGUUUGAACUUUUCAACAAUAUUUUCACUGAAGCCAAAAGUAAUGAGAUAUUUUCCCCCAAAAAAAGAUACUGAAAAUUUUCUUGAUUGACAAGGAAUUUCUUGAUUCUAUUGGAGCACGCUCUCUUUCGCUGUUAAGUAUUACUGUUUUAUCAUACUUACCAGAAAAAAGAAAAUUAAUUAAGCAGUACACAUGGUUGUGUAAUGACAUAUAAGAUCUGUUCUUUGUUUGGUUGGCCCUGGGAAUUGGGGUUGCAAGAAACAAUAUAGAUAAUUAGAUGUUUGAUGAAAAUUAUUCUGAGAAUUGAUUAAUCUUAAGAAAGUAAAACAAAGUUUCUCUUGUAUUUCAACUACCCUAACAAGCACAAGAAACAUGAAGUUCUCACAAUUUUCUCCAACAGGAUUAUACAACAUGCAGUGAUUCUUCCCGCAUUGAAUUCAUUUGUAUACUGGACUUAACGAUCCACAACAAACAUUGUUGCAAAAUUGAAUAUGGCAGACAAAUCCAUUGAGCUGCGACAACAACUCGAAAUGAUUAAGUGAAAGAAACAUAAGUGCUGCAACAAUCUAAAAGCAGAUUUUGCAAUAAAAAACUUAAGUAGCAGAACAAUCAAGAUAGAAUAUCAUCUCACUUUCUGACUCUCUAUACAAAAAACACGAGCCUGCAUGCAUGCAAUGUCUCACAAAUUACUCAUCUUCCAAAUGCUGCUUAGAAACUUUGGCCUAAAUCUUCUUCAGAAAUCCCAUUUUCUGAAAACAAAGACCAGAACAUAUUGGAGGUAAAAGCAGGAAUCUAGGAUAAUUCUAAUUGUUGCAGUUUUCUUAUAAAUUGCACAAAUUAGAUUCUGUCAUGAGCAGUAAUAAUGCUCUAGUAAAGAGAGAAUUAUAAUUCCUUCAAAUGCACAAAUUUCAACAUAAAUAAGAUAUAUUUAGUCAGCUUACCGCCGCCUCCUGCAUUGGUCACCUUGGUGGACCUGUCAUUCUCUUCUUUCUCCUUUUCCUAAAAUAUGGUAAUAUGUAUACACUAAUCAGACUUAAAAUGAAUUUAGCAUAAAAUUUGAUGCCAAUAAUACCAAUAAACGCCAGCACAUGAAUGCACACCAGCCUUUUCUGAUAUAGAUGUUGUAUGGUUGUAUUAACAUUGCCCUUCCCAGUCCAACACACUUCAAAUGCCUUGUGAGUCCCAUCCUCUUCAAUCAUCCAAGUCCAAGCUUGUCUAUCCCACCUGAACAGCAUCAGUUUGUGUAACUUGGGUGUGCUUAAUUCUCCUCUAGAGAAAACCUUCCUAUUGGGGCAAUUGUCCACCGCUAAUCUUUCCAAAGAUGGGAAUUUGAAGCAACAAACGCCAGAGCAGAAGCUUGUCAGACUCUCCAAAUCACUGAGCUCCAACUCCUUCAAAUCCUUGAAAACAAUUUCAUCUUUUGCUGCAUCAUCAUCGUCUACCACUAUUUCAGUUAUCAUCUGGCAUUCACCUACCUCCAUUGUUCUCAGUCGUGCCAGACUAUUUGCUGUUGAGGAUGUUAAAUAUGUUCACCAAUCCUUUAGAACUCCAUACUUUUAAAGUUGUUAGAUUCUGCAAGGAUGUCAAGGAUGGCACUAGACUAAUCAAAUUGUGACACCACCUUACUUGUAGAUGAGCCAAGUUGUCCGUAUUGAAGGACUCUUGUUUUAUAAUGUGCUUCAAAUCACGACACUUGUUUCCUUUUCUUAUGAUUGCAGACAUCCCAUUUUCAAUUUUCUUAUUUGAUAGCCCAAUACAUUAUCCUCCUUCUAUUUUGAGUACUUUCAUGGUGUGCAAUCUCUGGAAGAAAUCAUCAAGUGAUAAAAUAGUAGUAGACUCGGCAAAGGUGAUAUCAAGACACUUAAGGUUGCAAAGCAAGUCUUUCUGGAAAAUGGCGUUUUAUUGUUAUGUGCUUUACAUUAACUCUCAAUUCUUCUAAGUUGGGGAAUACCUGGUGCUGCCCAAUCAUAAAAAUAAAAAUGAAGGUUAUGUUUCUUCCAAAAAUUUCGUGCAGUAAAUAGAAAGCAUGCCACUUACGAAUUCUUGUCUGUAAGAAACUAAAUGUUGAAGGCAAUGACAAUGAAACUGUAGUGAUUCAGCAAGCCUUUAACCAAGCUAAACUGACCACUGCCCUAGGAUGCUUGUGAUUUAGUCGGUGCAAGUUGCACAGCCCCAAGAUUUAAUAAGAUAAAUCCACUCACGAAUAACAAAGCACAAGAACUAUUAACACGAACAAGAAACAGAAUCAAGAAAGCCACAGACACCCAGUUUUACGUGGUUCAGCUGAGCAUGGAAUGCUCAGCUUACAUCCACGGGAGAAGCCUCAAGAUGAGCUUUAUUGAAACAAUAAUGGAGAUUGUUACAGAACCUUACACCAGACUUUACAGAGAACAAGUUAGCACUUUCUCUCUCACAAAACCCUCUCAGUAAGAUUCAUGAAUUCCUUUUCAGAAUCUCCCCAAAAGCCAGCCUUUAUACUCUGUUUGGGUACCUCGCUUGAUUUCCAGAAUGAGCAGCUCGUUGACACGUGGUUAACAACCUUAACGAACUCUGAAUAACCUUCGUCACAUGCUUCCUCACGUGGUUACUUAAACUGAUAUGCACAACGCGCUCAAGCCUCGUCGUUUUGAUCAAUUCAUUUUCUGUUAAUAAACCAGCUGAGAAGCACGUGAGCUUAACGAAGUUUUAUAUCUCCAAAACGCGGUCGUUUCUGGAAACCAAACUUGAUUCAUUCAACUCACAGAAACUCUAAUUAAUCUCUAUAAUCUCGAAGAAUUGAACAACUAAUUAAAUUAAAGUCUUGUAUGCACCUGUUUUGAAAAGUCAACAGCGAAUUCAGGACAAUUCACUAUUGAUAAAUCUUUCAAGGAUGGAAACUCAACAUGCACGUCUCUUGCGCAAAAGCUUGUGAGCUUUUCAAGACCUAUCAUCUUUAGAACUUGUAACUGAGGGAGCAUUACAUUCUUCCAUUUUUCUUCUUCUUCUCUGUAUUCAUGGUCCACGUUUACUAUCUCUUCCAUGAUAGGGCACCAACGUAUCUCAAGGAAUUGGAGUCUGAGCAAAGCUGAUAACUAUAGAAGACGAAAACAGACAUCUUAAAUUCCUAAGACUUCUUAUAAUCAAGCGCGUUAAAUUCUGAAUACCACACGACAUGGCUGCAACUUGAUUUUGCCAAAUCCUUUCAAUAUUUAAUAUUGUAUCCAGCUCCAAGGUCUCCAAGUUUGGCAACGCAACCUGCUCGAUCAGCAAAAUUAACUUCUUGUUAUGAUUUUCAAAAUUUUUCCAAAUUAUUCCAUACUAAUUCUCGAAAACAAAUUAAUUAUAAAAUACUAGCUUGAAUAUAUUUUUAGUCAAAAUAAAUAUAAAAUAUAUACCCAAAACGUAGGUAUACGUAACUUUUUUUUUUGGGGGGAAAGGAUGCUCGAUAUGUAAUAUUAAUUAAUUAAAGUUAAAAUAUGUUCUAAAAGUGCGCAUACUAUAGCAAGAUGUAGGGCAACUCUUUAAUGUGAUUUUACCAUUCAAAGAGCUCAAAUUAAUUUACUAGUUAAAAUAUUUUCUUUUUUAUGGAGUCACUAGUCAUCACAUCAUAGAUAUUUAGUAUUUACAAACAGUGCAGGCCAUUGUAGCAUAAUAGUAGUUACCAAUUAGCAGGUGCUUAUAUCUAGUACUAGUAGUAGUAGUGAGUCCUAAAUACAUUUCAUUCUGUUAGAAUGUAUUUGUCACACCUACAACACUUUGGGUUUAAAAGUUUGAAACAAUUAUAAAUUAUGAUUAUCAAUUACUCUUGCCUAUUUAUGUCUGCCAACAAACGACAAUAAAAAAAAAGUCAUAAUUAAUUAAAGAAUUAAUAAGAUUAUUGAGUUUUCAAUAACUGACCUUUUCAAUGAAAAGUGUAUUAGAAACAAUGACGUCGUCUUUCAAGAUGAUUUCACUCGACCAAAUAUCAGAAGUUGUUUCUUCCUGUGUCAACACAGGACGUCUUAAUGCAAACAUGAUAUCAACGAGAUCUAUUUGUGUAAAAGGCCAACCCUUAGAAAUGUUUUUCAAUACAAACACACAGCACGUAUAAUUAUGUGCUUUCGCACAAGCUAGGCAUGCAUAUUGAAUAGCUCAAAAUUCAGGAAGAUCAUACCUUAUUUAACACACUCAAAUUGGGGCCCCCGAUAACCUUCGAUCUGCAGAUACUUGAGUUGUGAAGAACCCACUUUGACUAAUUCGUUAGCAAAAUUCUUGAUAUCUUGAUCUAGCAGUCCAGCUAAACUAAGCUCUUCAAUUCCCCGGAGUUGCACCACAAGCCGAUCCUUUAAGCGUACGUUGGCAUCCAGGUCGAUUCUGAAGCUUCUAUAACUCUUAUUAGACGAUCUAUAAAACCCCCGAGACCACCUAUGUCCAGUUAAUAUUUUGUACCUUUCCGGCUUCUCGAAGAACAAGCCUCCUCUUGGUAGAGUGUUGGCAUCAUUGACUCCUAAUUCUAAAGAGGUCAAGUUAGGCAAAUGCUUCAACUCCUCAAGGCUUGCAUUCUUGACCCCAUCCACCACCCCCACCUCCCAUUUAUAAAAGCUAAGAAUGUAUAAUUCCUCUAAAUGGGAUAAAUUUGAUAAAACAUGUGGUGGAAUAACUUGUAGAUUUUUACAAUGUCUCAAAUCAAGCGACCUUAACUGAGUCAACUGGCCCACUUCGACUGGCAACUGAAAAAUAGAAGAACCUUGUAAGCAAAGGAUUUCUAGUUUCUUCAGGUCAUCAAUAAUAGCCAUGUCUUUACGCAGCCGUACAAACACAAUGUAUGAAGGUUUGUUAGGAGACCAAUUGAUGAAGGCAGUGACAAUAGAUUCAUGUCAGUCAAGUCUAGAACUCUGACCUGUAACAUACUCCUGAAAAGAUUGUGUGGAAUUGCAAAAAAUGAAUUUUUCUCAGCACGCAUAGAGAAAAGUUUCAGUUGAGGACAUUCCACUACUUCAGGAAGCACAUAAGUCUUGACAUCAAGUAUGGCAAUUGAAGUGUAGUGUCUUACUCUACUCUCAUCUGACCAUUCCCACCCAUUAACCAGUUCAUCUGUUGCCGUAAACACAUUUUGUUCUCUAGAUGCAAUUGAUAUGGAAAUGUUUUCAUCAUAUCCAGCAACAUACAAGAAGCUUUGAGUUUGUUGACCAAGGUGCGUACUCGAGCUCGUGCUUCUUCCAUAUUUUUGAUGCCUUGAAAUAAACCCAAACCUAUACCAUAACAUAGCAAGUCAUCAAUGAAUGCCACGUAGGUGUAACCUAUUAGCAAAAAGAUUUGCUUGAGCUCCUCUCCUUCCAAUUAAUUUAUUGUAGCUCAACUCUAUAGCUGAAUAGGCAGUUGGCUGUACAUCUUUAAAGUUCGUUGAGAUAGGCCUUCUUAGUUGUUGUAAAGCAUCCUUCCAUUCAAAUAAACUCUUGUUCCUUAAUGCCCUCGAUACCGUUACAAUGGAAACAGGCAAACCUGCACAUUCCUUUGCCACCCAUUUGAAUUCACUACCUUCAAUAGUCACCUGCCAUCCAUGCUUCUUCUUCUUUUAGAAUGCCUACUGAGAAGUUUUGUUUAGAAUCCAUCUUCCUUGACAAUGUAUCUUCGCUUCUUGCUGUCAACAAUAUUUUGCAUCCCUUGUGAUCAUUUCCAUGAGGAAUUCCUACAGCCAGCAAAUCAAGAUUUUCCCAGAUAUUGUCUAAAAUCAUCAAUAUCGUCUUAUUUUUCUUCAAUUGAUUACAAAGACUUGCCCUUCCCGAUUCGCUCUCCUCAUGAAAUGUUAGACCUAAUUUAUCUGCGAUUUCUCCUUGAAUCUUUCUUAUGUCGUGACUCUGGGACACCUCUGCAAAAACCGCCUGGUCAAAGAGCUUGUCAUUCUCGGCUUUCCAAGCAACUUCUUUCGCCAGCGUCGUCUCUCCGAUGACGCCCAUUCCCAAGCAUGUUGACAUCAGGAUUUUUUAAUGCACCAAGUAUAUCAUUCAAAGUAGACAUUCUUGAUUCAAAGGCCUCGUAGUCUUUGUUAGACAUAAGCACUAUAUCCUCUGGAAGGGGACGGUAGGAAAUCCUAUCAAAUCUCCCAGCUUCCCGAAGUUUGACAAUAGCCUCCAGCUGCCUCAAUGCUUCCGUACUAUGCUGUAUGCGGAUCUUCAAAUUUGGGCACAACCCCUUGAAACAUUGCUUGUUUGCAGCAGCUUCAUCGCCUACAAAUUUCUCCGCCUCAACAAUGGCAUUGUUCGCGCUAUCAAGCCACUUCUCAACCUUCGUUUCAAUCUCUUCACCUUUUCUUUUAGCCUCAUCAACCGCGUGCUGUAUACUCUCAGAGUCAUCCUUCAGCUUCCCAACUUCAGCCUUGAGACUCUCAAUGUUAUUAUUGUAGGUACGCAAGUAGCUAAGUUGGCGUUCUGUCGGAGGAGCCAAGCACUUCACAACCUCUAAAACAACAGUAAGAAUGCUUUCCACCAUUUUGAAGUGAACAGAGAUCGGAUGCAAGGGAUUAACAGUAGAAGACACCAGGAGAUUAUUACAACAGGUUAGGAAGAUGAAAACAAGAAAAGGGUUUUCAAAAACAAAUGCAAAUCUUAGUCUGAUAAUAGAACAACGGAUCGGAAACAAAAUAUGAAGAGUUUUCGAAAGAAGAAAGGAGGGUAAGGGUUUCUUGAUUGAAUAGAGUUGGAUGCCAGGCAAUUAAUAUUAUAUUCAGGCCAGGUAAGUGCAAUGACAGAUCUGGUUUCGGUCCUCGUAAUUUAAGUGUAUCAGUACGAGGUGAACUGACUGCUUGUCUUGCCAGUCAAAUAUAGAAGACAAAACACUAAUCUCCAUAUAUACAUCCUUUUUUCAUGUGCAAGUGAACAGUUAAUUAAUUGUAAUCUUAAAUCUAUAAUAUUAACAAAGAUUAAUGCUAAGUGUUACUAACACUAUUAUAAUCAAUUAAUGAUCACGCUCUAGCCUCAGGCUGUAGCCCCGUUAUAUGGAGUGGGAAGAUAAAUUUGAAUUCUUUCAGAUAACCCUGUAAACUUAUGCCAUAAUAUGUGUGGCACAUAUUGAGAGAGGAAAUUGUAUAGUAAUCUAAAAGAAAUUGCUGUUUCAUUAUGUAAAAACUUGAUUGCCUCCUCAAUAAUUUAAAUUAAUUUGCGAAUAGAAAUAUCUGUUUUACAUAUUAUAUAGAUCAACAAUGCAGUUCGUGCACGGAAUCAUUAUUUAUCGUAACAAUAAUACUUAAACAACAAAUUAAGUUAAUAGACAAAUUAUAAUUGAUUAGGACUUGUCUUUAGAGGCUGGUUUAAUGAUUUUCAAAUAAUAUUAUUUAAUUGGUUAUUUAAAUUUAAAUUUAAAUUUUAAGCAAGCGAUGAGUUAAAAAAUUGAUGCGGAAUGCUAUGCAACCCUCAUUUUUUUAAGGCUUAUUUUUUAAUAAAUUAUAAAGGCGUGCGGUUUAAUAACAUUAAAAAUUAAGGUUGCGUUUGUUUUUUUAUUUGAAAUCUAAAUAUGUUUGAAUUUUACUGAAGUCUGAAUAGGUCUGAAUAAAAAUAUCUGAAUGACAUGUUUGUUUUCUCUUUUUUGACGUCUGAAGAGAAAAAUUCUAAAGUUGGUAGUUUGACAUAAAUAUCUUUUUAAGUGGUGCAUACAUUUGUUCUUCACAAAUUACAAUUUUCAUAUGUUGAUUAGUUUGGUAGCAUUAAAUAAAAAACACUAUCAUUGUUGAUCUUAAUUUAAUUUUGUAAUAAAAGAUAUAAUUAUAACAUUAAAUUUUAUUAUAAAGUCAACACUGUUGUUUAUUUUUAAUUCAUCAUAAUGGACAUAAUUUGAUUUGUUCAAUAUUUCAGUUUAGUUAAUAUUAUCAUGUGAAUAAAAAUUUAAUAUUAUUUAAUUAGUUAUUUAAAUUUAAAUUUUAAGCGAGCGACGAUUUAAAAAAAUUGAUGUGGAAUGCUAUGCUACCCUCAUUUUUUUUAAGACUUAUUUUUUAAUAAAUUAUAAAGGCGUGCGGUUUUUAUAACAUUAAAAACUAAGGUUGCGUUUGUUUUUUUAUUUGAAAUUUGAAUACGUUUGAAUUUUGCUGAAGUCUGAAUAGGUAUGAAUGAAAAUAUCUAAAUGACAUGUUUGUUUUCUCUUUUUUAACAUUUGAAGAGAAAAUUUUAAAAGUUGGUAGUUUGACAUAAAUAUAUUUUUAAGUGGUGCAUACAUUUGUUCUUCACAAAUUACAAAUUUCAUAUGUUGAUUAGUUUGAUAGCAUUAAAGAAAAAAUACUAUCAUUAAUUGUUGAUCUUAAUUUAAUUUGUAAUAAAAGAUGUAAUUAUGACAUCAAAUUUUAUUAUAAAGUCAACACUGUUGUUUUAUUUUUGAUUCAUCAAAAUGGACAUAAUUUGAUUUGUUCAAUAUUUCAGUUUAGUUAAUAUUAUCAUGUGAAUAAAAAUUUAAAGCAAUUAAAAUUAUUCAAGAAUAAUACAAAAAUUUAGGUUUAUUGAUAAUAUUGAAAAUACAUGAAUUGUUAAGGGUAUUUUUGAAAUUUGAAAUUAAAAUUUUUUAUUUAGACUUCAUACUUCAUCAGAUAAAAGUAGAUUUUUUCUACUUUUUCUAUUCAAAUAAAAUUGUCUGAUAAUAAAGUGAUAAGUUAAAAAAAAAACAAACAACCCAAAAUAAACAAAUGUCUAAAAAAAAAGUUAAAUUCAGAUUUUAGGCUAAAAAACAAAUAGCAUCUAACUCUCAAUUGUUCUCUUAAAUCUCAUGGGAACUAUACUAGAGAAUGACUAUAUAUUUAUACAUUCUAAUCCAAGAGCCUGAAUUUGUUAAAAGUUCGGGAAAACUAAUAAACUUUAUAAUUUAAUAAUUUUCCUAUACUUUAAUAAAACUUAGGAUAUUGCACCAAAACAGAACUAUAUAUAUACCAUUCUCAAGUAGAGGCACAUUUAUUUUUUUAAAAUUGUGCGGUUUAAUAAGAUUAAAAUUUGAUUCUAUUAAAUCACACAGUUAAAAAACGUACAUGCACUUUAUAUAAAUUGACUAUUACUUAAAAAUUAUUAUCAUUAUUACAAAAAAUUGAAGAAGCUUUGAGAAAUACUGCAAGAUCUGCCUGGAAAAGAAUAUUAUGCGUGAUUCUAGUUUUUUAAUAUAGAAUUAUUUUCCUCAGAUGCAAACGGCGUCGUUUACAAGAAUUCAUCAGAUCCAUAGGGGCUUCGGUUAAAACCCUAUCAAAGCCCCAGACUUUGACACCAAAGAAGCCAUGACGGACCCGGCGGCUCCGCCAUGGCUCCACCUCAUCUCCGCCUUUCUCGCCAUGGAACCCUCUGAUUCUCUCGUUUCCCUUGCCAGGUAUCCGUCGGCGCACGUUACCCAAUUUCAUUGCUAAUAAUAAUAAUAAUAAUAAUAUUAUUAUUAUUAUUGUAUUACUUAAUAAAAUUAGGUCUUAAUUUUCUGAUUUCUGUUAAUUUUUAAAUGCAGAGUAUGCGGUGAUGGAUCAAUUACAGAGAGAGUGCAGAGGUUUAUUUGGAAUUAUUGUAUAAUCAGAGCUGUGAGCAUUGUUAUUUUUCUCAAUUUAAUUAUUUAAUUUUUUUGUCUUUCAAUGAGUUUAUGAAUUCCAAAGAUUGAAUUUUUAUGCAACUUAUUGUAUGCUUUCUAUUGCAUUUAAUUUAAAUGAUAUUUUUAGGCACUGUUUGACGGUAUAUAGUGUUUUGGUCUCAGAAUUGGAAUUGGAUAAAAUAGGGAUUUAGAUUUGUAAUUCUAGUGAGGUUUCAUUUUGUUGAUGGAAAUUGGAAUCACUUUUAUGAAAUGGUUCUUUAAGCACUUUCGUUUUCGUUGUUUAGAGUUUGCUUUCACUUUGGAGAAAACCAAGUAGAUAUUUUCCAAAAAGUACUUUAAUUGCUUUUGUGAAUAUGUUUUAGUGCUUUCUAUAGUAGCAGUCGCAAUCUCAUUUGUUGACUUCUUAAUAUAGAGCUUGUUUCAGUUGUACGUCUAAUGCAGGUAGGCAAAGCUUAUACGCCUUAUUUGAGGAAUUUUCUAAAGAAACUCAUUGUUGAAGUUGAGUCAAUCCAUGGUGAAGUUUUGGAUGAAAUAUAUGAAUUAUAUGCUGAUAUCAUAACAUCUUUGAAGGUAAAAUUGCUUAUGGAUUUAUCUUAUUUAAUAUUUGUGUUUCUUGUCAUGCUUAAACAUUGUUUGACAAUAUUUGUUUUUGCUUUUGUAGGAUGAUUAGUUUGCUGAAAAAAGCAUGAGGGUCCGUAAAACCAUCACUUUUCUUUUUCCUGACGGUAAUAACUAUUAUCUGUAUGAUGUCGGUGUUCUGACCAGCACAUAAGUUUAGUUGAUGAUUUGGUAAUUCUAGGUUGUAUUGAUCUCCCAAGUUGUCCAAAGUCUCGGAAACUAAUGGUUCCACUACAAUGUUCCCUCAACAUGCUUGAAGGAGAUACUGGGUGUGCUUCAAUUUGAUUCUUAUUUUGUAUUUCUUUCCAAAUCAUCAUCUUGUAAAGUUACAUGUGAUCUCUCUAACAUUAUGAAUUAGUUCUUGGCUUACAGGUGUUCAAUUUGGCCCUCUAGCCUUCUUUUGUCAGAAUUUAUACUUUCUUUUCCGGAAAUAUUCUCAAAUAAAUCUUGUUUUGAGGUAAGUUAUUGGUUAAAUAACAUUCCCUAUUUGAAAUUACUAACUGUUGCUAAGGUUUCUUGACCCAUUAAUAACUUAAGCUAGUUCCUUUUGUUGAAACACCAAAUUACUAAUUUUUUUUACAAUCAUUUGAUCGUACAACUCUAAAAAGAUGGCAGGGAAUAAAUAAGAAAUGACUGGCUUUUCUACUUCACUAUUUAUUUUGUAUCACAUAAAGAGUUCUUUUCCUUUCUCGCUUGUUGAUUUGAUCAUGUCUGUAGGCCUCCUAUACACUCAAGUUUCGUUUUCUGAUUCUCUCUUGCUUUUCCUUUUUCAAAUUUUUUGUUUUUACAGGUUGGUUCAGGUGUUGGUUUGGUUGGAAUUUGUCUUGCCCAUGUAAAAGCCUCAAAGGUUUGUUAUUCAAAUCUCAUGCAUAUAUCUUUAUGGUGUUGGCUUUUAAUGAAUUUGUUGGGGUUUUAUGAAAUUUGAAGGAAUAUGGAGCUUUAUGGAUGGUUCCUUCUAAAAUUGGUUGCUUCCAAAGUUUAUGCUCCUAAAGUAAUGAAUUGGCUUCUGAUGACUACACAGUUAAAGAGCGACUGUGUGGACAGAUACGGGCCACAUAUUUUAACUGUUUCUGGUGCCUAGGAAAAGAAUAAUUUUGAAGAACCAUAGGUUCUUGUUACCUUACAGGCCUUAUAUUUAGUGCUAGGUUUAUGCUUCUUCACUAUGAGCCUGCAGAACAUGUCCAGCUGGUCAUUGCUAUCUCAUUUUGUAGAAUAGUUUGCAUAAGAGUUAUUGUUGUAUGCAUAUCACAGACUCAUUGCUUAUAGUUAUUUGAUCUAUUGCUAUUGUCAUCGCACAUUUUCUUGACACAGGUGACAUUGACUGAUGGCGACCAUUUAACUCUAGCUAACAUGAGGUCCAAUUUAGAGUUGAACCAGCUAAGCACCGAUACUAGUUUGUUAGAAAGCUAUGAAGAUCCGAAUGUGGUAAGCUUUAGUUGCAAGAAUUUUUUUCCCUAGCCAUUUUCCUUUCUGCAUAAGUCAUAUAAUUUCUGAGAGAAACAAAAGUUUUCUAAAUUUUCUCUUUAAGUUGAAUCAUCAAGAUGCAAUAGGGCAGGUUUGGUUACUUGUUUCCAGAACAGUUUGUACUUCAUAACUAUCAAAUACAACAAACUCAUGGAAAUUGAACCAAAAUUUGGUUUUAUUGAGGAUAUGAAGUCAUUCUUGGAUUGAUAUGGAAGUCUUAAGUUAAAGCUCAUGUAAUCAAAUAGGAAAAGAUUUUGUAGCAGUCAGUGUUGAAAUCAACUGUAAAUUUCAGGUACAAUGUGUUCAUCUGCAUUGGGAAUCUGCAUCAGAAAGUGAGCUUUCUGCCUUCGUGCCAGAAAUCAUGUGAGUAUUUUAGCCACCUCCUAAUAUAUUUUUCUGACUGGCCUUUGAGCUGUCAUGCAUCAUACAUGUCUGAAAUGGGGCUAUUGAGCUUAUGUCCAUUAUAUUGAUUAUUCUUUGCCACUCAAAAAUUGAAUUAAUGAUCGGAGAUCAUGUUAGUUUUCUUGGGUGUAGUUUGUAUAUGGUUUCACCCUUUUGUUAUUACAUCCAGUGUGAUUUAUCUUUUUUUCCUUUCUGCAGUUUGGGUGCUGAUAUAAUGUAUGAUCGAUCAUGCUUCCCUGAUCUUGUUAGAAUACUAGCCAUUCUAUUGAAUCGAAGGAAAUCAGAUUCCUCUUCACGGAAAGAGUGUUCCAAGGGCUUUAUGCUGGAUACUAAAUGUAAUACUAAUGACCUUAAUGAUUUAACUGCUGUAACAAGCAAAGGCCCAGUGGCAUAUAUUGCAACUGUCAUUCGGAACAUCGACACCUUCAGUUAUUUCCUUUCACUGGUAGAGCAGGCUAAUCUCUCAAUCACAGAUCUAACGGAAGCCAAAAUGCCCUUCAAUUUGCUUCCUUAUAUGCGGUCAUACGACCGAUCAAACAUGAGAUUGUUUACUGUGUCGUCCAAGGCUUGAUUGUAUUCUUCUCCUUCCUCCAAAAUAGUCUCUUGCAGUCGCUCACUCAACCCAUAGAUGAGCAGUUCUUGGCUUCUAGUUCUGUUAUCUAUUCUAUUGAGCUGUUGUUCGUAACUGUAACUUUCAUUGCUGUUGUACGAUUCUAAUAUCAUAAAGUAUUGAGUUAUGAGGUGAAGGUUUUUUAUUUUUUUUUUCUUGUUUUAUUUUAAGGAAAUGUAGCUUAUUGAAUUUCAAACAUUCCUGUCAUACGCAAACCAAAUGUGCGAUUUCAUUGGGUGACAAAUAAUCUUUCAUUUAUACAACCAUAUCCAACUACAUAGUAGCUUCUAAUGGAAAGAUGAAUCUUUUAAGCUAACAUAUGACUAGAAAGAGAAUCUUCAUCAAUGGUUUAAUAUAUAUAUGAGUACCAAUAAAUAACUUUUACAGUCAAUAUCGCACUAGUUUUAUAAAAAUCACAUCUUUUUAUUAAGAGGUUGGUGAGUGGGCGAAGUUGCGGUACAAAAUUUAUAUAAUCAAUUACUAAUACAGACUAAUUAAGUGUAAUAAUAUAUAUCUUAUGGUAGAUCUAGUUUGAAAAAUUGAAAAAAAUGAUUUUAAAAAAAUUACGAACAAACAAGAUAAUGCUGACGUGACCUUAGGAGCUUGUCAGAACAGUAAAAAAGUAUAAUAUGUUCUUACCAGCAGGUAAGGUUUUGUUAUGACUCGCACUUUGACAAGUGAUCUCUGAACUCUGAAGGUCAUAAAAUGGUCAUUUUGUCCAGUGUUUUCGACUUAGAAAAUGCCUGACUUUCAAGUCUUUCUAUGGCCGUCAUAGUUGAGAGAGAAUAUCACUGAUUAGUUAUUGGCCUCUUAAACCAUUUACAGGCAAUAACGGAAAUUGGGGAGGUCAUACAAUUUUAUGAUUCUGAUAGACAUUUGAUGGCGCUGUAUCACAUUGUUUUAACUUGAAUGGAAGAGCAGGUGGCUUUGAGGUAGGGGUAGCUGGAGAUUCGCAACUUUGCUAUAAUCCUUAUUUGGUUGGCUUGUCUCCCAUAACUUUUCAUUUUUAAUAACAAACAUUAUAAUAUGUUUCUACAUUUUCUGAAAAUUUCCUUGGAAUUUUAUCCUAAGAGAUGUAUAUUUUAUCCUCUUCCAUUUUUUUAUUAACUGCUGGUUUCUUUGUUUAAUAGGUAGAUGGAGUUGAAGGCAUUAUGGCUGCUUAUGCAAGCGCUCUAAACAAUGUUUCUUUGGCAGGACCGACUCUGUUUGGUCAAGUGAUCAACACAGCUGCACGAAUUGCUGGACAGUCCCUCUCAUACAACAGAAGCAAGUAUUUCGUCUUACUCAUUAUAACGGUGAUUACAAUGAUUCUAUAUAUUCACAGUUUUCUCUUUCUAUCAUUCUUUUUGGGUGAUUUGUAAAUUUGCAUUGUCUAUCUAGGAUGGAGUUCUGACAGAUCUCCAAGAAACGAAAGAUGCUUUGGUAAGGGCUUCUGAUCUUCCCCUGUCAAUUCUAAUUGUGGGUGUGGGAGGUGCGGAUUUUACACAAAUGGAGGUACACAAUGUUUUCCAACUGGAAUAUCUUCUUACUAGCAUUGAACUUCUUUUUUCUAUAGUUUGAUAGAUUCAAUUUAGAGUAUAUAUGCAGUGUGGUAUUAUCCCACUUUUGUUGCAGAUUCCUGAUGCUGAUAACUUUGUUGGCAGAUUCUUGAUGCUGAUAAUGGCCGUAGAUUAGAGAGCUCUACCGAUCGGGUAGCUACCAGAGAUAUAGUACAAUUUGUUCCAAUGCGAGAAGUUCAUAGUGGUGCAUAUGAUUCUUUGAAAAAAUUAGUUCAAACUAUUGAAUUUGGGAGUUAAUUCACAGAAGUUUCUGAAUUUUUUCAUGCCUGAACAAAGGAACCCAUUGUUUUCUGAACAGGUGGGCAAAUUUCUGUUGUACAAGCACUUUUGGAGGAGCUGCCUGGUCAGUUUUUGACCUACAUGCGCUGCAGAGAUAUCAAACCACUCAAUGUUCAAAUGGCCCAAACAUGCGCUUGAGUAAAUAUUCAUAUAUUUGGAAAGGAUACAAAACCAAGCCAAAUAUAUUAGACAAGACCAAGCCAAACAUAUUAGGCUAUACAAACAUAACAUAGCAGAAAUUGAUAAUGGUACAUUACAUAUGUUAGGAUAUAGCGGUUUUAGAUGAUGGUAAAUUACAUAUGCUAAGAUAGAGUGGUUUGUAACUAACUUUUGAUGGCUUAAUGAAUUGAUUGAAUUUGUAUUUAGAUUCUAUCAAUGAUCUCAUAUUCUUCCUAUCCAUGUCUUUCGAUUUUUAUUAUUCCCUCUACCCACUUGUUUCACAAUUGUUUGUGUCUGAUGGCCUAAAACUCCAAUUUUUGUUGCUGUAUUAUCAUCGUUGUUGAAGAUCUACUACAAUGAACAUGUGCUGAAUGUCAACUUUUACUACUACACCAGCAAUCUAACACAUGGCUCACGUGCACACUAGACAAGUCUGAUUCACACAUCUUUAAAGUGUUGUAUUAUAACUCUCUGAAACUGGGUUUGAGUAAUCAAGAAAAGCCAAAAUGUAGAACAGUGACAAUAAAAAAUGAAGACCCUCUUACAGUCUUUAACUUGAUAGAAAAAACACGAGCUGCAUACCAUGUCUCACAAAUUUCAAAGAAAAUUGGCUUCAUUCCUGAUGCUGCACAGAAGGUUGCCCUGAUCAUCUUUAAGAAAGCUCAUUUAUUACAUUAAUACAUUACAUCAGUGAGAUGAUGCUACUUUAAUGAAACUCAUGUCUCAAGUUAGGAACAGCUACAUGGGCAUUUCAUCGAACAGUUGAUAUGCUUGGCAGAUAAUUGAAGUUUCCUGGAAGUUGCAAGUGCUGCCGGCAUUUUCAAAAUUGGAAGACCAUUCAAAGGUUUUCAAUAGUUAGUUUGAUAUUACACGUGUUAUAAUCUUGUGAUGAUGAUGAUUUUAUGUAUCUGAUUGUUUGGGGGAUAUACUUCGACGAGACCAGCCGUGACGAGCAGAUACCUGGUAGCAGAGUGUACUUCGGCGAAGACCAACCGUGAUGAGCAGAUAUCUGGUAGCAGGGUCUCGCGAGCAAGUAUAUAUUGUAAGAAUCUGGCAGCAGGGGAGCAGGAGCAGGAAUAUUCUGCUCGUCCACGAAUGCACUAUCCGCGAGGCCGAUCCUCUGUUAGAAGCAUAAAGUCAUUCUAGAUAAGGCUUGAGUCGAGGAGACCCGGUCAACGACAGUUUGCGAGACGUGCUCUCCAACCCGAGAAUCAAGGCACGAAGGCUAUACAACCACCCACGAUUACAGAAGUGGAACAUCCACUUUCGAGAGGUGGGAGGAUAACGGGCGCGAAUGGAGGGAAGGUCUGAGUUCAGGAGAGGCCUAUAAAAAAGUAGCCAACGAAGGUAAAAGGGUUAAAAUUUUUGACAUUAUAAUAGAGAAAGAAAGCUCUAAAGAACGGAGACUAAAGAAAAGUCAUAAGAUUUGUGGCUAGCGUUCCUAGAACCUUCAUUUCUGACUUGAGCGUCAGAGGGUUUACGCCAGGGAAACAACCGGCGUACUCUGACCUGCUUCUGUGUACACAAGAAUUUCUGGAGAAGAAGCCUUACGAGGAGAGAUCCUGAUCGAGGUGAAGUUGAUCGAGCAGAUAUCUUGGUCGUAGAAAGAGGGCAACCAGAAUCUCACAUCAAUAUUUUGGCGCCGUCUGUAGGGAGCUGAUCAAAAAGCUUCUGUUGACAGCAAGAAGAGGAGUAAAGCAAGUGGAAAAACAAUGGAGGCAGGAGGAAGUAGUGCACAAGGGGGUGAUAUAAGGCUUAACGAUUUCGUGAUGCUGAGGGAGAUAGCCAGUGAAGCACGAGAAAAAGCCAUGUUUGACCGGAUGGAACGGAUGGAAAAGCAUAUGGAGACCCUGACAACCAUCCUACACGAGCUGCGGAGUGAACGAAGGGGAACCCUCGAGGAAAGGGUGAGAGGUGGUGGAGUGGCACCAGGUCACGAUAGUACGAGGAGAAGUCAAACCACCAGGAGAUUUGGUGGUGAGAGAGGUAAUUUAUCUCUGCGGGGAGAAAUUCAUAGAGAGGAAGAGCAAUCCCCAGCAAGACAGAUUUUUGAUGAGGACGACGGGGUGGCGAAUGCAGAGGAAACAGAGCUCAGGCAACACUUACAUGACGUAGAGCAAGAGCGUGAUCAAGUUGCAGCACGUGACCCUGGUCGUGCAGUGCAGCUGGAGGAGGAAGUGCGCAGACUAGUGCAGGUAAUUGAUGACAUGCAAGGAAGGAGCAGAGCUCCUGGUUGGAGGAUAAUGCUGGACGGAGAAUCACCGCUCGUGGCAGAGAUCAUGAGGGCAACCAUUCCAAGAGAUUUUCGCCUCCCAGACCUUAGAUAUUCGGGACGAACUGAUCCGUUGGUGCUCAUAGAGCGCUUCAACGACAUAACCGGAGUGUAAGGAUUAUCUCAAGCCCAAAGGUGCAAGGUGUUCCCACUAUCCCUAAAGGGACGUGCACGCGAGUGGUACAAGAAACUUCCUCGGGGGAGCAUUAAAACUUUCGAGCAGAUGUGCCAGGAAUUUGCAGAGCAGUUUCGUGGGGCAAUGGCACCAGAAGAUAAUAUGAUGGAGUUGAAAAACAUGAAGCAGGGGGAGCAAGAAAUCUUUCGGGAAUUCAUCAAGAGGUUUCAUCGUGUUGUCCUCGAUUUGGGAGCCUUCAACCAUCCUCAGGCAUUAAGGGGAUUGAAAGAAGGGGUGAAGAUAGGAAGGCUAUGGUACAACUUCAGAAGCCCAGUUAUUCAGACGUAUGCAGCCGUAUACGAGCAGGCUAAGAGGGACAUAGAGAUUGAGGAAGAAAAGGCAGCACGGAUUAAGACAGACCAGCUAGAAGGGUUGGGAAAGAAAGAGAAGAAAGCAUUACCAGGGAAUGGGUCGAUCAGGAGGAGGGAUCACCAGGCCUCAGGUAAUGGUGCAGGAGGUCGGGUAACCGCUUACUAGCCUCACCAGAGGCUACCACAGUAUCAGCGCAGCAGGGCGCAACCUCCUCGCUCACCAGCUAGGGAGCCUUGGAGAAGGUAUGACUCGGCAUAUGGUGGUCAUCAUCCACACUCCCACGGUAGUAGAGGGAGCAGACCAGAAGCGCUGCCACCGCCUCCAACUCAGAACGGUGCAAAUAAAGAAAGGGCAGUGCACAUGAUCGACCAGAACCAGGACUAUGGGCGGUAUACUUCCUUGAAGAUACCCCUGGACGAGGUGUACGAGGCCAUAAAGGACCGGGGACUAUUGUACCUCCCUACCCCAAUAACAAAGCUCCUCAGCAGGAGGGAUAGGGGACGCUAUUGUAAGUUCCAUGACACUCAUGGCCAUACCACUACAAAAUGCAAAGAUCUCAAGACCCAGGUUGAAGAUUUGGUGAGAAAUCGGUACCUGGACGAGUUUAUAGAUGGGACUUUUCCGAUGGUGGCCUUGACAUGUGAAGGGGAGCAGAGUGACAGAAAUUUGAGGCGCGAGCAGCCUACAGUAAGGGUGAUAGCUGGGGGCCCAACAUUGGCCAGAGAUUUCAACAGAUCGAGGAAGAAUUAUGCUAGAUACGCCAUGACUAGUAAAGAUGUAUUCUUCAACACCCCAGCAGCCAAACGAGCAAGAGUCAGGCAAGUGCCAAUCAUGUGGACAGAUGAAGAUGAAGAAGGGAUUCUAUACCCCCACUGUUGCUAGCAAGAAGUUUGAACGGAUACUGGUUGCCACAUGGAGCUCAGUUGAUGUGUUGUUUAAGUCAACUCUGGAGGAGAUGAGAAUAACAGACCUGAAGUUGGAGUACACCAAUACCUCCUUGAAGGGGUUUGGAGGAGGAAAGCUGGUUUCUCUGGGCGUGGUCAAGCUGCCUAUCACGAUUGGGAGCUCCCCAACAGAAAGGACUAUGAUACUGGACUUUGUGGUAGUGGAUGAAGAAGGUCCUUACCAGAUAAUCCUAGGUCGGCCAUUUCUGAGGAUGAGCAAAGCGGUACUGUCCAACCAUUAUCUAGCUCUCAAGUACCGGGUGAAUGGGGUAGUUGGAGUGGUACGAGGAGACCAGAGAAUCGCACGAAAGUGUUACUCCUCGGCAGCAAGGGAAACAAUGCAGAUAACAUCCCUUGAUACCCGAGUGGAAAACAAGAAUGGCAGACAAGAAUCUGUAAAGGAGCUGGAGACAGUAAGCCUGGGACCAGAGAAUCUGGGAAAAACGAUCAGAAUUGGGUCAAGACUUAAAGAAGAGCAGAAGCAGGAGUUGGUACAAUGCUUGCGGGCUCAUACAUAUGUGUUUGCUUGGACACAUGAAGACAUGCCAGGGAUUGAUCAUGAGGUCGCAUGUCAUAAGCUGGCAGUAAAGAAAGGUGCUCGAGCAGUAAGGUAGAAAAUGAGGUGCUUCAACCAGGAGAGGUAUAAGGCUAUAAAUGACGAGGUGGAAAAGCUCUUGAAAGCAGGGUUCAUUCGGGAAGUCAAUUAUCCUGAGUGGAUAUCGAAUGUGGUGUUGGUAAAAAAGGCUAAUGGCAAGUGGAGGAUGUGUGUGGAUUUCACGGACCUCAACAAGGCAUGCCCGAAAGACAGCUUUCCCUUACCAAAGAUUGACCAGCUUGUAGACUCGACAGCUGGACAUGGCCUGCUCAGCUUCAUGGACGCAUUCUCGGGAUACAACCAAAUCCCGAUGUUCGAGCAGAAUGAGAAGAGCACGGCAUUUAUUACUAACUAGGGUCUGUUCUGUUAUAGGGUAAUACCGUUCGGUCUUAAAAAUGCGGGGGCCACGUACCAGAGGCUGGUGAACAAAGUCUUUAAGCCGUUGAUUAGGAGAACAAUGGAGGUGUACGUGGACGACAUGAUAACUAAGUCGAAAAUCCCGAAAGAACAUGUCGAGCACCUCGAGGAGACAUUCGCACUUUUGAGGAAGUACAAGAUGAAGCUCAACCAGGAAAAGUGUGCUUUUGGGGUCGAGUCAGGAAAAUUCCUCGGAUUCAUGGUGAGUCAUAGGGGGAUCGAGGCAAAUCCCGAGAAGAUCCAGGCGAUCUUUCAGAUGAGGUCUCCUCGUAACCUGAAGGAGAUGCAGAGCCUUACGGGAAGGCUGGCGGCAUUGAGCCGAUUCAUAUCCAAGGCUACAGAUAAGUGUCAGCCAUUCUUUCAAGUGAUAAGGAGAGGGAAGAAAACAUAAUGGACCCCAGAAUGCGAAGAGGACUUUCAGAGCUUGAAGCAAUACUUGCAGUAAGCACUCCUGCUGUCCACACCAAGGGAUGGGGACAAGUUAUCUUUGUAUUUAGCGGUAUCAGAUCGUGCCACAAGUUCUGUUCUGGUGAGAGAGGAAGAAGGGGUUCAGUAUCCGAUAUACUACACCAGCAAGGCCCUGCUCGACGCUGAGACCCGAUACCCACCGUUGGAGAAAUGGGCACUCGCUCUUGUGGUCGCUGCUCGGAAGCUGAGACCGUACUUUCAAGCAUUCCCCGUCUCGGUAAUAACAAACCAGCCGUUACGUCAAACCCUACACAAGCCGGAUGCCUUUGGUCGGCUCGUGAAGUGGGCUAUAGAGCUGAGCGAGUUCGACAUUGAUUACAAACCCCGAGCAACGAUAAAAGGCGCAAGCAAUGGCCGAUUUCAUAGCAGAGUUUGCAGAGCCUAAAAUAUGUUUGGACCAGCUAGAUAUUGCUACAGAUAGCAGCGAAGCCCGAGUAUGGCAAAUGUCUGUAGAUGGGUCAUCAGGGGAUCAGGGAUCAGGAGCAAGAAUUGUCUUGGAAGGCCCAGAGGGGGAGGAGAUCUCUUAUGCUGUAAAGAUGAGACCAGAAGCCAAAUAAAUAAAUAAACCAAAACUCAAAUACGAGAAGGCAAAUAAGAAUAAUUUUAUUAAGCUUCUAAUAAUCUGCAAAGCUGCUACAUAGAAUGUUCAAAAAGCAAUUACAGCACAAGACAAAUUUAGGAGGACGGCGGAUCAGUAAGCCGGGCCACCUCGAUUGGCUAGUCCACUUCAGGCGCAGGGGGGGUAUCACCAGUUGCGUCCGGGGGGAUACUCGCCUCACCAACAUCAGCAGGGAUUGCACGAGGAGGAGAGUCUUCCUCCUCAACCACAAUUGGCACCACCUCUUCGGCAUCCUCUUUUGCGGCCUCCUCGUCCAUAUGUUGGGCAACACCAGCUGCAAGGUCAUCCAUCUUUAGAUCAGGAUGCUGCUUCUCGAGGACGGCCAUGAUGCAACAAUAGGAAUGCCGAAGUCCCUGGUCGUACUGGUUGUCAGCUUCCUUUUCCAAGUUCUCGACCUGAACCCGGUGGGAAUCACGAAAAGACUCAAGUUGAGCCUCAUACAUAGCCUUCUGCCUUUGCAGAUCCUCCUUGACCUUGGCCAGCUCUUCCUCGAGGGUAAUGGCCUUUGCUUGAGCAAGAGAUUCUCGCUCAAUUAACUUCAGAUUCUCGAGAUUCAGGUCUCCUGCUUUCUUCUCGGCAUUGUCAGCUCUGGUCAUCGCUGACUGAAUGUCCUCCUUCAUCUUCCGGUCGUAACGGCCUACCUUGGCCUUAUAGUAAGUGGUCAUGCAGCUGAGAUGGAAAGCGCUAUACUGCAUGGCCCCCACUAGCUCACCUAGGGUGCAGCCAUCAAAGUCCUCCAGGUCUUUCUUGCUCACGAGUUUAGAUAGCUCGUUGAGAUAAGGGACCAAGUGCUCUGGUCGGUUGUCAGAUAAACGAGAUCUAGGCCCGACAGGAGGAGAAGAGGAAGCAGGAUUAGUGGCUGCUCCACUAGUUUCUCCGACUUUGGCAGGAGGAGGAGAUAGAGUCUUCAAGGGGAGAACCUGCUGCACAAUGUUCACCCGUUUCGUAGUAGGAGCGCUCUUGUUCUGGUCUCUCUUCGCAGUUUGAGGUCGAAGACGUUUCCGAGUCAGAGCCCCGAUCACAGCGUCCUCCAUCCCAGAGUCAGUGGUCACCAAACGAGACUCGAGCAGGUUAUAAGUAGUUAGCAGCUCUCGGCUCGAGCAGGAAUUGGCCAGUACAACUUCGACCCAUUUGAGCUGGUCGGGUUUGAGUGGGAAGUGAACACCCCAAGAACCUGCAAUACGAACAGACAUUUGGUUAGAGACAAACCAGUAAAGUAAGAACAACUAUAGAGACAAGACAUCGAAAGCGAGCAGGCAACCUGGGACCACGAAACGGGGUGGGAUGCGACAAUCCUUCCCGUCAAUCUGUGCAACUUGACCCGAGGGACCCCCAGCAAAAAAGAAAUUUUUCUUCCAAUUCCCACCACCACCAGUUGGAAGAUCGGUUAUGGGUUUCCUGGUUUUAGUAGUUGAUUGGAAGUAAUACCAGCCGGCAUCUUUGGGGCUACUUUUCAGCUGGUACAGGUACUUCACCUCAUCAACUGUGGGCUCGCUUUGGCAACAUCUGUCCCACAAGAUGAACAGACCAGAGAGUACUCUCCACCCGUUGGGGUUCAGCUGACCAGGAGCUAAAUUUAGCCCGUUGAGUAUUCGGGCAAAGUAGGGUUGCAGGGGACACCUCAACCCAUACUUAAAACUCUCUAGAAACAGGGUAACAUAUCCCCUAGGAGGCCGGCUAAGAGUAUCCUUCUUUCCUGAGACCUUAAGAGGAAUUUCAUUUGGAAUAUCAUACCUAACCCGAAGAUCAUAGAGCUCGUCAAAUGUGGUCAUACACGUGAUGAAAUCAAUGGCGUAAUCCUGUGAAUGGGCUCUACCUCCUACUGUACUCCUCACUUCUGGUCGCGAUAUUUCUGGUGAGGGCAUCUCACCAGAAUCACCUCCCUGGUCCUCACUCAGGGUGUCUUCCGAGCCAGAUGAUCCCUCGUCACCGCUAUUUCGGCUCGAGAAGGUUGUUUGGGGGACAUUCUCCUAGCACUAGUCCCAACACUAGAUCUAAUGGGUUCUAAGGGGAUCCCAGGGUCAAAGGCAGCAUCGGCGAGUAGAUUAGGUAGGAAGUCUAACUCGUCGUCAUCAACCUCAAUGAUUUUCUCUUUACCUUUCGACAUUCCCUAAGCUAUAACCCGAGCACCACCACCACUAACUAGUACCCAAGCAAAACAGAGAGAAAAGAGAUAUCAACAACUAUCCAAGACCGAGGAAAUAGGAGUAAUACCUGAAGUAGUGGCUCAGUCGAAGGGAGACAGGGAUGGAUGCUUUUAUGCCGAAACUCGUUCGCUGGAGAGAUAAACGUGGAGUAAACGACGAGUUUCUAGUUUGGGGGUUUUGAAUGUUCCUAAUGAGGAACAAACCCAUGGGCUGCCAGCAUUUAACGGCACCAAAUCCCAAGGGUUUCGUAACCCUUGGUUUGAAAUUCAAAUGGAGGGAUAGAUUUCUGCCACAUCACCUCAUCCGUAAUUAAAUGCGACACGACUCUUGGCAGCCUUUUCGUGCCCUACGCAAGCCAAAACCGUUGAGUUUCUACUGUCGGCUCACUAUGUUACCCAACACCAGAAACUGGGGGACCGGUGUUUGGGGGAUAUACUUCGACGAGACCAGCCGUGACGAGCAGAUACCUGGCAGCAGAGUGUACUUCGGCGAAGACCAGCAGUAAUGAGCAGACAUUUGGUAGUAGGGUCUCGCGAGCAAGUAUAUACUGUAAGAAUCUGGCAGCAGGGGAGCAGGAGCAGGAAUAUUCUGCUCGUCCAUGAAUGCACCAUCCGCGAGGCCGAUCCUCUAUUAGAAGCAUAAAGCCAUUCCAGCUAAGGCUUGAGUCGAGGAGACCCGGUCAACGACAGUUGGCGAGACGUGCUCUCCAACCCGAGAAUCAAGGCACGAAGGCCAUACAACCACCUACGAUUACAGAAGUGGAACAUCCACUUUCGAGAGGUAGGAGGAUAACAGGCGCGAAUGGAGGGAAGGUCUGAGUUCAGGAGAGGCCUAUAAAAAGGUAGCCAACGAAGGUAAAAGGGUUAGAAUUUUUGACAUUAUAAUAGAGAAAAGAAAGCUCUAAAGAACGGAGACUAAAGAAAAGUCAUUAGAUUUGUGGCUAGCGAUCCCAGAACCUUCAUUUCUGACUUGAGCGUCGGAGAGUUUACGCCGGGGAAACAACCGGCGUACUCUGACCUGCUUCUGUGUACGCAGGAACUUCUGGAGAAGAAGCCUUACGAGGAGAGAUCCUGAUCAAGGUGAAGUUGAUCGAGCAGAUAUCCUGGUCGUAGAAAGAGGGCAACCAGAAUCUCGCAUCAACACUGAUUAUAAGCUAAGCUCAAUAGAUUUGUAAGUAAGCACACGGCAAAGUAUUUAAUCUUCUUAUUGUCGCAUUCUUCUAAUCAAUUAGCUUUCACCAACAAAAAUAAUUAAUAAUAAUGUAAAUGGAGGAACUUGGGAUCAUUAAUACCAGUAAACUACAACUUCACCUAAGCUCCUAGGAGGUUCCACAUGUUGUCUACAGUGAGCAAUUGACCAGUAAACUUUCAUUUUUCCAUAAUUUUCUAUAUAAAAUCUUGAUAUUUUCAUGAAAUUACAUAAUUUAAGAAACUGUCUCCAAAAAAUACCAAUAGGUGCACGAACACAAAUAUGAUGCACACAUCUCUUUAAUUAAUUUAGGGCUUAAAGAGAUUUUAAGAUGCCUACAAAUUGAAUAUGGCAGAUCUUGGACACCAUCCAUAAGAAAUAAAACUAGCCUCAAAUUGGAUUUCUGAGUACUCAAACAAAGCUAAAAGCAUAAUAACGAAUGAAAACUGAAACAAAAAAUCGUCUCACCAACACCAUCUGACUCUUAAUAUGUACAAAGAACUCGAGCUCGAGCCUUAUCCAAAAUGCUGCACAAGUCGCGGAAAUCGUCUUUGUAAGUUUGGAGACUCUGUAGACAAAGAGUAAAAACACAUUGAAGGUGCAGUUUUCACAUAAUUAAAUUGCACAAAUUAGACACAGAAAUCCUUCAAUUCUCUCUGUGAGCAAUUAAUUUCAUUUUUUUUUUUCGCUAUGUCUGUCUAACAACUAAUCCUCAACAUAACAACAGAGCAGAGUAGUUAUAUUUUAAAAAGAUGUACCAAUAUGAUUUAACAAAAAAUUCAACAUAAAUAAAACAUUUUUAAUCAGUAAAAUAGAAUCAAAUCAAAACCUCCCAAAUUAUAUAGAUUUUAUCUUACCACUGUUUUUCGCAUCUUUCUCCUUUUCAUUCGCCUUGGCGGACUUCUCUUUCUCUUUUUCCUCCUCUUCCUAAUCAGAUUUAAAAUGAAUUUAUAAAAAAAUUAAUAUGUACUUUUUUCUUUUUACUUUUUUAUAUAUAUCUGUUAUUAAAUCAGUAAUUUUUAGAAAAAAAUAAAUAAAUCAACAUCUUAUAGUGAAUGAAUACUUACCUUUUUUCUUUUAAGAUAUACGUAUUGAAUGGUUGUAUUAAGGUCCCGAUCCCAAGCCCAAAGUUCAUUAUCAAACACGCUCAGCUGCACUUUCUGUAACUUGGGUGUGCUUAAUUCCCCUUCUGAGAAAAUCUUCAUAUUGGGGCAACGAUCCACCACUAAUGUUCCCAGAGAUGGGAAUUUGAAGGCGCAAUUAUUCCCAGAGCAGCUGAAACUUGUCAGACUUUCUAAGUCCCAAAGCUUCAAUUCCUUUAAUUCGCUGAAAACAAUUUCAUCUUUUGCUGCAUAAUUAUCUCCCUCAUCAUCCUCAUCUGCCACUAUUUCUGUUAUCAUCACGCAUGAGUAUAUCAUCAUUUGUCUCAGUCGCACCAGACUCCUUGCCGUUGAGGAUGUUAGAACGUUGAUCAUUCCACGGCAACCACAUACCGUCAAAGUUGUUAGGUUCUGAAAGGAUGUCGAGGAUGGUUGAAUAUCUCCAGCUGUUCCAAAUUGUUAGUAUUGGUUGAUUCUUGUUUGAAAAUCUGCUUCAGUUCACGACGCUGGUUUAUCCCUCUCAUCAUUGCUGCCAUCCCAUUUUCAACGUUUUUAAAUGAUGUGUACAAAGCCUCAUUGUUCCCUCCUAUAGAGAGAAUUUUGAUGGUGUGAAAUCUCUGGAGGAAGUCGUCAAGUGAUAAAAUAGUACUUGACUCAUCAAGCCGGACAUCAAGACACUUAAGUUUGCAAAGCCAGUCUUCUGGAAAUAGGCGUAUGUGCUUUUCAUCAACACUCAAUUUCUCCAAAUUGCGGAACACCUGGGUGAUCAUCAAUCACGAAAAAAGCAAGAUGGAGUUAACACUUCUUUCUUACGAUUUCACAAAUUAAAGUAAAUACAAAGCAUUCCAAUGAUGCAUAUUGAUGGCCAAACAAAUUUAUAGAUAUGCGGAGAGAGUAAGAUUUUCAGCUGUAAAUACAAAGUAAAAACAAAGCAUUCCAUUUAAGUAAUGUGUAUUUUCAGCUGUAUAUUAUUUAUGUUACCACGAGAUGACCAAUUUCCAGUUCAACAUCAAAAUUGAUAAUCAUUUUGUAUGUAACAAUACUGUACUAAGGAGUACUAAUUUGGAAAUAGCUCUUGAACGAUUUUCAGGGAAUUAACUAUGGCUUGAAAAACUCUAAAUCUUAUGAGUAUUUUCUUUGUUUGGCUAAUCAAAUGCCCUGUCUCUUCCGUGUAUUUAACUAAACAUGUAGAUAUAAAAUAAAAAGUACAGGAAGAAGAAAAACUCUGAUAAUUAAGAGAAAAAAAAUUGAAUAAGAAGAAAAAAAAUUAUUUACUAAAUAUCUUUUUUUUUUUCAUUCGGUCUAACUGACAUCCAAAAAAAAAAUAAUUAUGUUUGUAAGGAUAUUAUAAAGUAUAAAUAAACUGAUUUAUAUAACUAACAUUUUGUCACUAAAAGACGAAGUGAUGAGGGCGAUGACGCCAAUAAAAUUCUGAACUCUCAAAGUAGAAAUACUUUUCUGUACGUGAGAAUUGAAAAAUAAUUACAAAAAUCUUGCACGCGUACCUUUUCAAAAUGCAGAUCACCUGUGCAGAAGCUUGUAAGCUGCGGAAGAGAACGAAGCUCAAGUGUCCUAAAUUGAGUGAGUUCAAUCACUUCAGUACCGUUAUUAUUGCUGGAUUCAUCUCCUCUCUCGGCAGCAAAAAUCACUUCCAUAUUUUGGCAACUACUCACUUCAAUGGACUGAAGUUGUUGAAGGCCUCCGCCAAUGACCAAUGGAAAUACAUUUUUCAACUUAUCACACCCUUCCACCUCUAUGUUCUUUAAUUUGCAAAAAGACUCUGCUGUGGGUGGACCACGACAUAUUUCCUCAAGGUUCCUUAAAUCUCUCAGAAAUAAUGACUCCAAAAGAGGGAAUGCAGUCGUCGGAGCUGGCGUACAAUCCAUCGUGUCAACAAGACGAACAAGGUUGCCAUUACGUCGGAUUUCGAGACGAUUCAGCUGUGGAAAACCUUCUCUGCCUGGUUCACAAAGAACAUUCUUCAUGUCCGGCAAUCCAUCUAAAGUUAGGUCUUCAAUACCCUUCAAUUGCAUGAUAUGCCCCUCGUUCAAGCAAAUGUUGGCACCAUUUGUGAGCUUCAGUCUGAAGAUUCUAGAAAUCCCAUCCCAUGCGCCAUAUUCCCUACAAUUUCCUAUCAAUAUCCUGUACCUUUGCAGCAUUUUGAAGAACGACAAGUCUCUUGGUAGAGCCUUUUCAUCUUGGAUGAAUAUUUCUAAAGAGGUCAAUUUAGAUAAAUUAUUCAACUCAUCAAGGCUGGCAUUUCUUCUUACACUGUCGAUCCCUACCCUCCCCCACUGAAUGUGACUCUUACCAAUAUACAGUUCUUCUAAUCGUGAUAAGCUUGAUAUGACAUUUGGUGGAAUAACUUUUAGAAAGAAACAUUUGCUCAGAUCCAACAACCUCAACUGAGUCAGCCGGCCUAUCUCUUCAACCAGUUCCUCCAUAUCAGAACCUCGAAGCGUAAGGAUAACUAAUGUCUUUAGGUCUCCGAUAAUAGCUAUGUCUCCUAGUUGGCAAUCAUCGAGAGACAAUGUUUGAAGGUUUUGUAAGAGACCAAGCGAUGGAGGCAAAGGCAACAAAUGCAUCGUAGUGAAAUCUAAAACUCUAAGCUCUGUCAUAUCAGUAAAAAUGUUAUCUGGAAUUCUCAAAGAAGGAUCAUUGCGAAUACGAAAGUAUUUAAGUUGCGGACAGUCGAACCCUUGAGGAAGCCCACUAAUAUUAGUAUUAAAUAAGGAGAUUGCGGUGCAAACCUUCAGUGUAUCCUUAUCUGGCCAGCAGGUCAGCGGAACAUUCUCAUUUUCCACCGCAAACACAUAUUGGUCUCUAGAUGCAAUUGAUAUGGCUACAUCACGAACAACAUCAUGCAUAGAAAACCUUUCACUAGUAUCGCCAUCAAGCAGCAAGCAAGAGUUCUUGAGUUUAUCAACCAAUGUAUGUGCUCUAUCCCGUGCCUCAUCCACCGUGUUGAUGUUUUGAAACAGACCCAAACCCAUGCCACGAUAAAGCAAGUCUUUAACGUUACAUAUGUAGGAGUAUCCUAUUAGCAAAAGCGUUUUCCUGAGUUCCUCACCUCCUAACUGAUUGUAACUCAACUCGAUAGUUGAAUAAGCGGCCACCGCUUGUGUCCCAGAGAAACUUCUCAAAAAAGGCCUUUCUAAUUGUCGUAAAGCAUUCCUCCAUUCAUACGGACUCUUAUUUUUCAAUGCCUUCGCUAUGGGUACAAUGGCAAUGGGCAAGCCCGCACAUUCCUUGACUA